rnacentral:lncRNA from 1 species
CAGCUAGCCAUUCAGUUCUUCCAUGGUUCAUAGCAUGUCUCAUGAGUGCGUUACCUGUCAUUUCAGCUGGCGAGCGUGAGGAUGCUGCCGUGGGCCAAGGCGCACCUGAACCCCACCGGGCAGGCCCUCAUCAUCUCCACUGUCGCUGGGAUGGCCUACUUCAUCGUCGCCGACAAGACCAUCCUCUCCAUGGCCAUGGCCAGGAGGCACUCCUUCGAGGACGCGCCGGAGCACCUCAAGAACACCUCCUUCCACUAGUUAGAUCCAUUAUUAGUAAUGCCCAAUGAACCGUGUAUGCCAAAGUGCAUAGCGUACAGUGAUCAGCAAAGGGAGGUCAUAAUAUAAUUUUCAUCAUGCAAGUAGCCAUGUACAGCAUCUUUUGAGCUAGCAAUACUGAAAGAUGUACCAGCAUUUGUUAACCAAUAUUUUCCAGCUACCGGCUAUUUUGAUGAGUCAGUCAGAUUAUAUAAAAAGUUAAGCAACCUCAAGCUGACGUUUAGUUUAAUCUUGUUGGCUCGCUGCCACCCACGUGACACAUCGACUUGAUCAGCGACAACAUAUAGUAAACCUCAGAUCCUAGUUUCUAGUUAGCAAAUUCAGCGACAGUGCCGUUUUGAUCCAAGGUGAUCCCAGAAAGAUGCCGAAAUUUCUCAGAGGGGGAUAUUUACACACCAUGCAUCAUGUCAAAAAUCAGUGUUACAUCUCCAUUGCUUGCUGCCACUGAUCUCCCCGGAAUAUAUAGUUGUUUAACUAUCAAUAACUCAGUCCACACAACUGAAUCGUCAUGUUCGUGUUCAAUUUGGCAAUUCCCCUGGCGAAUCACAUAUCUUGCUUUGUAUAUGCAUAUGUGAUGUAUAUAUAUGUUUUUCGGAAAUGUUAACGCCCACACGUGUGGGCGUUUACAUCUCGCCCACAAGCGUGGAUCCGCGUCCGUUUGUGAGCGCACGAAUCUUGGCAUGUUUUUAGUGCCACGUAGGACUGGCCUGGUGUGUGGGCGUUCAUCCGGUCGCCCACACGAUCGUUUCACCACACGGGAGGGGCUGGUGUGUGGGCGUUCAACAGUUCGCCCACACGCCACUUUCCAUGCACGCACAAGGGCUAGUAUGUGAGCAUUUAUCAUCUCGCCCACACGCCAUCUUCUCUUCCACACCCAAGCUGCUAGUUGCCAUAUGUUAUGCAACGCACAUGGCAACUGCCCUAGUGUGCUUUGUAAGCAGGUGUCAACUCUCUUUUUACCCGAGUUGACAUGUGUUUUGCAGGGUACACGGCAACUGCCUAGUGUGCACGUAAGCAGAUGACAACUCUCUCUUUACCGAGUUGCCAUGUGUUUUUGCAUGGUAUAUGGCAACUGCCCUAACGUGCACGUAAGCAGAUGACAAUUCUUCCUUUUUACAUGGCAACUGCCCUAGUAUGCUUGUGAGCACAUGGCAACUCUCUCAACUGCCUAGUGGUAGUAUGUGGCAACUCCUAAAGUUUUGAAAUCAUGACAACUACAAUAGACCAGACCAUACAUGGCAACUGUAGUUGAGCAACCAUGGCAACUGCAGUUGUCCGACAUGGCAACCGUAGUUCAGCGACAUGGCAACUGCCCUAACGUGCACGUAAGCAGAUGACAAUUCUUCCUUUUUACAUGGCAACUGCCCUAGUAUGCUUGUGAGCACAUGGCAACUCUCUCAACUGCCUAGUGGUAGUAUGUGGCAACUCCUAAAGUUUUGAAAUCAUGACAACUACAAUAGACCAGACCAUACAUGGCAAACUGCAGUUGAGCAACCAUGGCAACUGCAGUUGUCCGACAUGGCAACCGUAGUUCAGCGACAUGACAACUGCAGUUAAACGAACAUGGACGAGGGUCUGGACCAUGGCAACUGCGGGCGCGCGGUGACUUUCACGCUGGGCGUGCGGGACCACGAGGUACGAGGCCUGACAUACGGGGCGUAUGGGCGUUAUCUACUUCGCCCACACGCACGCGUGUGAGAGGGAUCGGGAGGGAAAAAAAGAUGUGUGUGGGCAUUACUUGUUUUGCCCACACGUAGAUAUGUGGACUGUUUUUCUUAUACACCACACAAAAUGUGUGGGCAGUCUCCCUAACGCCCACACGUGUGGCACUUAUCGGCGUCCAUGUUUUUUUCAUGUGUACUUACCUUAUACAUAAAUUGAAGUGAAUGGCAGACAUGAACAUGUGAUGUAUAUAUGUUUUUGUCAUGAACAUGAUGACAUUGGUGUGAAAGUGAUCACAAUUUAGUUUACCUAACUUUGUAAUAAAUCAGUGUAAAUAUUUGCACGACACCAAAAUUAUUUCCGAUCUCACCAAAAGAUCCGAAAUUUAUAAGAUUUAGAAUUUAUAUAGAACCAGUUAGUCUAAAAUUCUUUGGAUUUGAACAACGUUAGUCCAAUUAUGACACGGUUCCCAUAGAAGUCAUCUUUUGCUACAUAAUUUUCUUUUGCUAUUUCAUCUUUACAAGAAGGAUUGGACGCGCUUUGCUUUGCUGUUGUUGGAUUUCACAAAGAUAAUUUUUGGUUUGGCGUGGGAGAAAGAUGAUGGAGUGUUUUUUUAAUGUGGUUCUCAGUGAGAUUUGUUAGCGGUGUGAUUAUAUGUUAUUUUCUAAUCAACAAAUACUUAUGUGGGGAAGUCCCGGUCCAAUUUUUUAUACUUAUGUUGGCAAGUUUUUUGCGUUGGUAGCCUCAUGUAUUAUAUUGGUGCCAUGGUGUCACAUGCUGGUGCUUCUUUUUUUAGAUGGUGAGAGGUGCACAACACAUGAUUAGUGUGUUUUUACGAGCUGGUUGUUGUCAAUUAAUUUGAGAAAUCAUUAACCCCGUCAAAAUCAUGAAUCAAAAUCCAAAAUUAAAUACCUCAACCAAAUGAAAGAGCAUGUUCAGAAAUAGUUGACCUAAUCAAAAUCAUAAAUCAAAGUCAGAUUUUAAAACUUCAAUUCAGUAGGAGGGAUCCAAAAUUAAAGAGCAUAAAUGAUAGCUAGUAAAAAACCUUUACGUUAUUUGAACUAGACGAUACCCCGCGCGUUGCUACGUAACUUUGUUAAAAAAUGCAGAGAUAGUUGCUAGAAAAUAUUCACAUCCAAUGAAAAGGAAAUAUUAGUUUGAAAAUCAAUAAAAGAAAGUCUCCAAAAACAGAAUAUAAAUUUUGGAAUUACUGCUAAAAAUAUCAUUUCGAACAAACAGGUAAAGGAUGACUACCAUGCAUGCAUGAUGUGGCAACGUUAUAUGCAUAGAGUAAUGCAAAAAUUAUUGCAAUUUAUUAGUUCGCUUAUGUGGUAGAUUUUGCAUGGCUUAGUGGGAGAGAAGACUUAAAUGCAUGGUCUUGGUGAUGGUAGUCUGGAUGGCGUACCAUCGAUACGAUAACGACUGCACAUUGAGAUCAUGGAUGAUGUGCAUGUCAUGGGGAGCAAUGUGCUUUUGCGCGUGAAACGAAUCAUGCACGCGCUGCCAGAAGAUCCCUCUUCUGCUACAGCCUAUGAACUCCGUGGAUAUGGCCAACCACGCAUCGCACAACAACUCAUCCUCCAUGGUUGAGUACCCCCACCAUUCUUUGUGGACUAAAUAAACAAAAUGCCAUUCAAAAAUAAGCUCAAUUAUAUUUGACCAAACACCUGUCAGGCAUGGUGUCAGCCAUGGACGUCGUCGACGGGUCCUGGAUGGACGGCGCCAUUGUAAAAGGUGAGCGGGCGUGUCGGUGCUGCUUGCGUAUGUCUGGCAAUGCCUGUGUGGCGGCCGGAGAGGUACAACGACAACGUCGGAGAAGGAGGAAGCAAUGGGGAGAAGGGGCGGCUUGGAAGAAAAUGUGACCGGGAGGAGGGAGGGGGGUAGUGGCCGGGGAUUCGGAGCCCUACGUGCCUGCUGUCUGGACUCCCGCACCCUCCCCACUUUGCUUCCAAUUUGCGGGAAAAAGUGCCUCUGGACCGAUCGUGAGACCGAUACACGCAUUGGAUGGCAAAGCACAUCCGAACUCUGCAGUUCGAAUGUGUGCGGGCGGUUUGAGGGUCGGUGUUGGAGAUGCCCUAAAAUGAGUAUAACACAUAGUUAUGCCUAGCUCAAAUAAAUUUAAAUUGAGAUUUAAACUUCCUUUGAGAAUUUUGAACGGUAUGCGGUUAGUUUUAUUCGGUAGCCACAUCUUUUUCCCCCUCUUGCCAUUUGUUCGGUAUAUUUGGUAGCCAUGACCUUGGCCGGGGUCGGGAUUCACGACGACGGGAGAUGUAUGGUGGUUGUGCGAGUGGUGACAUAGCUAGCUAGUGAAAACAUUUACUGUUGAGUAUCGUGAUUAUCAGGAAAGAGGAGAUAGACUAGGAUUUUUUUCUGGCUUGUCUUGUACUUUAAGUAAAUCAUUGUACUCCUAUAUAUAUAUGCCCACGAGGCUCAAGCAAUACAACGAACAACUAUUUCACCAGAUCCCUCUCUCCCUUCUAACAUGGUAUCAAUUUUCGGGUUCUAAAGCCUAGCCGCCGCCGCUUUUGCACCCGUGCACCGCCGCCGGGGCGGUCAGCCUCCAUGACCGUCGCUGGGGGCCGCGCCGCCCAUAUCGAGGGUUCAUCCGCCAGCCGUGUUGGCCGGCUGCCCUAGGGAGCCUUUUUCUCGAGCCCUUGCUUCGGGUUUUUUUUUGCUCUCUCGCUGGUCAUUUUGAUCGGCGUUUUUCUUUUUGAUUUUGAUCUAUGCUUGAUCAGUUUGUGUUGCCCGCCGCCGCCGUCGACACCCCGCGCCUCUACUCCGACACCGGCGCGACCGACCGGCUACUUCACCGACCCGGCGGCAUCGCGCGACAGGCAGCCCUCAAGGCCGUCGUCCGCGCCCUGGCCCGUUUGACGCCCUACGCCGGCCAUCAACGCCCUGCUCCGACCGGGGCACCUGCAUCGCCUACACCCGGCGGCCUCGCGCUAUGCGGCGGCCAAUAGUAGCCGCCGCUCGCGCGUCGACCCGCCAAUCGAUCCACGCCACCCGCCUCCGCCGCGUUUGCACAGCGGCCCGGCGGUCUUCCUCGCUGGCCUCGUCCUCCGCUGCAUAGGGACGGCUGUGUCAGGCUCGUUGGCUGCCUCAACUCGGGCGCCGCUGCUUCGUUGGUCGCUCGGGCCUCGCUGCCAAGGCGCCAACGCUGCUUUGGCAGCCUGGGUGCCGGUGCUGACAAGCUCGUCCGCACGACGUCCCACACCGUCCGUCGUCGCUGACCUCAUCUCGGACUCCGCCGCCACCCCGCCUCCACCGAGGGGCGUCCCCGACCUCGCGCAUGAUCGGCUUGAUCACCCGCUCACCGCUUCAUCUAGGCCGCGCGACCGACCUGGUCCAUCGGUUACGCGCGCCUCCGUAGGCCCCGUGAAGAUCGUCCUUGAGUUCAGCAUGCCCCUCCACCGAUCGAGCAAUGGGCUGCCGUCGCGUCGCCCCGUCGAGCCACAGCGCCACCGCCCCGUGGUUCACCUCGCGGUGCAUCGACUCGCGUAUUGCCGCUGCGUCGCCCCUACAGGCCGUAGUGCCGCGAUACGCGGUCCCAGCCGUCGUCCCGAGGCCGUCCCAAUGGUUGCACCGACGCACGCUCCGCCGCUGCACCGCCACUUCGGGUCGUAGCGCCGCGGUCCCUGCCGCCGCCCCGAGGUCUUCUUGCCGUCGCCCCGACCUGCCCGCCGCCACUGCGUUGCCCCUUCGGGCCGUAGCGCCGCGGCCUGCAGUCCAUUCCGCCGUCACCGCGCGUCGACCUCCCGUGGUAUGCGACACGCCCUCUCCCUGGGCGCGGGAAUGCCACCGUCCGCGUCGGUCUUCGUCACGUUGUCAGGGUUCUUCGCCUACAUCGAGCACCGUCACCGCGCUCCUAACCUAGCCUCCGCCGCCGCCGUCAGGCCGCCGGUGCCGCUCUUCUUUGGCCACCGCCGUUGUCGGUGUCAAAACUGGCAGAUCUCGGGUAGGGGUUCCCGAACAGUGCGUCUAAGGCUAAUGGUAACAGGAGCCAGGGGACACAAUCUUUACCCAGGUUCAGGCCCUCUCUAUGGAGGUAAUACCCUACUUCCUGCUUGAUUGAUCUUGAUGAUAUGAGUAUUACAAGAAUUGAUCUACCACGAGAUCAUAGAGGCUAAACCCUACAAGCUAGCCUAUGAUUAUGAUUGUUGUUGUCCUACGAACUAAAUCCUCCGGUUUAUAUAGACACCGGAGGGGGCUAGGGUUACACAGAGUCGGUUACAGAGAAGGAAAUCUACAUAUCCGAAUUGUCAAGCUUGCCUUCCACGCAAAGGAGAGUCCCACACAGACACGGGACGAAGUCUUCAAUAUUGUAUCUUCAUAGUCCAAUAGUCCGGCUGUCCGAGGACCCCUUAAUCCAGGACUCCCUCAGUAGCCCCUAGACCAGGCUUCAAUGACGAUGAGUCCGGCGCGCAGAUUGUCUUCGGCAUUGCAAGGCGGGUUCCUUCUCCGAAUACUCCAUAGAAGAUCUCGAAUACAAGGAUCAUGUUCGGCUCUGCAAAACAAAUUCCACAUACCACCGUAGAGAGCACAAUAUUCCAAAAAUCUAAUCUGCUGAUAACUUUUCAUAGCAUGAUAUCACGCUACGGCUCGGUCAUUAUUCGAACCGUUUUUCUCAACCUGCCACUUCACAUCUUGCGAGGAGGUUUUAUUGGUACGUCUUGUCGAAGCAGAGAUCAUGUCCCCUUAUCACCGGAUUCUCAUCAAUACGGGUGUGGGUAACCCAACCGCGCCAUCAACACGACGCUUGGGGAAUAAGAUAGUUUAUCGGCAAGUGGGGAGGCGCAUGGUUUCUACCGCCUUUCUAAAGAGAUAAGGAUUCCCCUUUUUCACCCACGCCUUCUUCUUCUUCUGCUCAUCCAUUCUCCCUCCCUCGAGCUCCAGCGCGCAAGUUCUCACCUUCUCCGUAAAGCCAUUCCAAGCAUGUCCGGAGCGGGAGGCAAGUGGAUGGCCUCCUCCGUUAUGGAGGAGGACAUCACGAAGCUUUGGGAGGCCGGAUACCUAUCCGCAAACAUCACGCACAGGCUUCCGGCUGAAGGGCAAAUCGUCCCUACCCCUAAACCUCAGGAGAGGGUAGUGUUCCUCUCUCACUUCGUCCGCGGGCUGGGAUUCCCCCUCCACCCAUUUGUCCACGGACUUAUGUUCUACUAUGGGCUGGACUUCCAUGAUCUGGCCCCCAAUUUUAUCCUCAACAUCUUGGUGUUUAUCGUCGUGUGCGAGGCCUUCCUCUGCAUUACCGCCCACUUUGGCCUAUGGCUGAAGACCUUCAACGUGAAGCCAAAGGUGGUGGUUGGCCAACAAGUAGAGUGUGGGGGCGCCAUGGUGGGCAACAUGCCCAAUGUCACCUGACCCGAAGGCUCCUUUGUGGAGACCAUGAAGGGGUGGCAAUCGGGGUGGUUCUACAUCACCGAGCCGCGUGACACCAACUGGGCGGCAGCCCCCGAAUUUCGAUCCAGCAUCCCCAUGCGGCUCACCUCCUGGAAAGAGAAGGGCUUGGCCUGUGUCAUCGGUGGAGCUGACCGGACUUCAGACCUGCGUCCAAAAUAUGAUAGGCAAGAAAAUCAAGCUUGUCAAUGUGGUCCAGGUCAUGCUCCUCCGCCGAAUCAUUCCAUGUCGGAGACGGGCUUUCAAUAUGUGGGAGUUCGACCCGACCGAACACCAGACACUGUGAGAGCUCUUCGACACGACGCACGAAGACGUCUGGAAGGUGUUGUUCAAGGCCACCGAGGUAGCACCGCCCAUAACCGAGGAUCGCGGACUCAGCGCAGAGCGCCCCGCCAAUCCAGUAAGCUCUUUUCUUCUAUAUUUUGCAAGGUGUUCCUUUCCCCAGCAUAUUCGCGGGAGGAAUCUAAGCCUCCAUGCCAAUUUAACAGGACUGGGUAGCGAUAGCAGAGCGGAUUGACUGUCCAGCUCCGCUACCUGAAGAUCCAGCAUCGCCUCUUCUAACGAAGAUGCUGUUUCCGGCACCCUAUGAGGUGCCGGAGAAGAAGGUCAAGAAGAAGGCAACAGGGACUAGGAAGGGUCUCCGGUGCAAGGUUGUAUCGGACAUGACGUUUGAAGACAUCGAGGCGCACUCCUCCAACGAAGACGAGGAGGAGGAAGAAGAAAUCCCUCCCCCCUCCCCAACCGGGGGGCAAAGAAGAGAAAGGUCGCCCCACAAGGGGAGGCUGGGGCGUCCAAGAAGGGAAAGGCUUUCCUUCCGGACCACUCCACCAUGGCCACCUACAGCGGCGAGGAGUGGCUGCCCAGGGACAAGCCCCUGGCUAAGUCGUAACCAUCCGGACACUUUAAUGCUUCCAGUGUGUUUUGAUUUAUUGCUUCUUAUCAUGCCAAACAUGCAUAUGCAGUUCGGCCACAUCCCACAUCGACGCAUCCUCUUCGGAUGGGUCUUUGGGCCCGUCGGCGAUAAACAGUGAUUCACUCCCGACAGCCUCCUCCCCCAGGCCCAUGGACGACACCGAGGUGUUGUCUCAGAGGAUACCGGACCAGGGGGAGACAGUUCUGGAGACGCCCCAAGGCGAAAUCCAAGAUGCCGGGCACAUGGGAGGGAAGACCCCCAUGGAUUCCGAUGGCGGGGGCUGCAGCAAGUCUGGCCCCCAGCCGAAUGCGGCUCCAGAAACCCAAGUGGUUCCGGAUUCAGGAAGGCAGCCUCUCUCUAAGGAGGGCGAGCCGCCUGUACCAAUGACCUCUGUCCAUCCAGAGGCAUCGGAUAACUUGCUAGAAGCGCUUCGCGACACUUCCAUUGAUGAAGAACACCGUACUCUUAUGAGUUUGGUGAUUGAGAAGGUCCGGUCCGCCAAAAGCGGAUUGACCGAAGCCUGCGCGAGCCUCCUAACAGGCUUUGAGGUAAGUAAUAAAAUUGUAAGAAAGUAUCACAACAUAGACAGUAGCCCAUGAUGCUGUAUUUGGUGUUCGAAAAGAAAGGUCGAACAGAGGAUCAAAUAACAUCCGCAGGAGUCUAACAGAAAAUGUCUAUGUGAAUAAGUAGGCGUCACUGCUGGCCACUGCCGCUCAUACUGCGGAGGUCUCCGGACUAAAGCGGGCCUGGAGUAGACCGAGGAAGAGCUCGGCCGCAUGAAGAGGCAGCUGGAUGAAAACAAAGGUACACAAUACCCCGUCUAUAUAUGUAUAAAGGAAAAAAUUGUUGCUUCUAAGCGUCAUGAAUUUUAAUAGGGGCCACGACCGAAGUGGCGGCCCUUAAAAAGGUGCUGACCGAGGCCGAAGACAAAGCGGCCAAGGAGCGCGCCGAGCGCGAGUAGCAAGAGGCCCGAAUCGAUGAGGUCCAGCAAGAGCUCCAGGAUUUCGUCAAAAAAUGCGAUUCCUUGGAGCGUGACUCUAAGACGCAAGAGUCCGAGCUUGCGAAGGCCCUCCAGAGCGCACGAGACACCAAGGACGAAGCCCAAAAGGCCCUCCAGGAGAUUCAGGCGGCCAAGAAGAUAGCGGCGGGUAAGGCAUUCAUUAUGCAAAGCAAGCAUGUGAAGGAGACUGUCCUUUUACUUACCCGAAUUUGGAGCUCUCCAGGAGCAUUCGCAGAUCUGUCACGCAGCAUAUCUGAUGCCGUAGAGUUCUACCGAGCUGAAGAAGGGAGCUCGACAGAGAAGUUGUUCUGAUCUCAGUAUAUUGGGACCGAACAUCCGAUGCCCUUGAGCGACGAGCUGGAGCAACUGGUCGAACUGCACAAGGCGGCCGAACUGGCCAUGAAGGACCUCAUAGUCCGGAUGUGGCUUGCCUAACCCCUACCCAGCAGCUACUUCGGCCUAGUAAAGCGGCUUGUGAGUGCCUGUCCGCGGCUUGAAGUUAUAAAGUGGUCAGUUUGCAUUGAAGGUGUGCGCAUGGCCUUCGCCUGCGCGAAAGUGCACUGGGCAAAGAUGGAUGCCAAGAAGUUAAUGACCGAGGGGCCGCCGAAGGGCAAGGAGCACUGCCACCCCGAGAAGUAUUAUGAUAGUGUCUUGAAGGGCUCCCGCCUUGUGGCGGAGCAAUGUGCUAAGGAUGUAAUAUUUGAGUGAAUGUACUCAUUUGAUCCUGUAAUAUGAAAACAAGUUCGUUUGCACAAUAUAACGCUUGUUGAUUAAAAUUUUACCUUCUGUGUGGCCGUUUAUAAAAUCUGAGAGUUCGCCAGUCGUCGACUUCUGCCCCCAUGUAACUAGUACCGGGGUGUUCGAUAUAAAUCUAAACAUUCUUUAUCCGUUUUUUUGUCCUUUAAGGAGGCGUUUAGUGCAACGACAAGGCAAUAAGAUUAUACGGCUUUAUCACUCUCACUUAGCCAUAGAAGUUAUAUAAUUUUAAAUUUUGGCAUAGCCCCUGGUAUUCGGAAGGCCGAACUUGGGGCGCUAUACACGCCUAAAUCGGACAAGGCCGAUUCCUCGCCCGAAGCAGAAAAAAUCUUUAAGGAUUUGAAACCUCUCGAACAGCGACUAGCUCUCGCCGCAUCAUGACAGUCAGUUUUCGGCUUUCUCUACUGAGGUGCUCGUCUGGAAGAACCAGGACACAAUCGCAGUAGUUGUCCCUGUGCCACCUUAGCCGAUAUAGCGGAACGUAAGGCAGCAAAACAUGGGAGCCGGGGAAACCCAACUAUUGACCCAAGACAUGAUUCGGAGUUGAUGCAUAUAAUGCUAUAAGUUCGGGGUGCUGCAUUGUCGAAAGUGUUCGGACUUUUCCUGCCGUGUUAUGGGGUACAUUGAAGCCCUUGGCGAUCUGAACGUACCAAAAUGUACGGGUGCAAUUUGUAAUAAAUAAACAGACAAGGAAAGAGAUAAAGAAAUGUAAUAAUAAGCUGACGUUAUACAUUAUUUUCCAUUGUUAUGUGAAUAAUACGUCAAGGCGCAUGUAUACAAGUAGUGCAAUAAGCACAAUAGGACUAUUUAACAUGUCCAUAACCAAGGGCGAGCUGCGUGUGGGUAUGUAAAAUAGGUAUAGCGAUCGUUAUCAGAGACCAGCUGGGGAUUCCCUUGUACGUCAAAGCUCCUUGCCUCCUUGGUGUUUCCGUCCAGUGAUGGGUCCGAUAAUCAGGCUAUCGGAAGAGCCUCCAGAAAAUAGGGACCUGAGAACAAAGAAAAGGGGGAAGGUGUACGGGUCCUGGGGCGGUUGAGCCACAUUAUGGACCGCAUUGUCUUUAUGUGAACUAGAUUAUUGACUCUAGUGCACUAGAGUCAAUACUAGUGACACUAUGUUGUCUAUAUAUUCACACAUGUAUUAUGUUUCCAGUUAAUACAAUUCUAGCAUCUAUGGUGGAGGGAGGCACCGCACACGGCUAAGAGAUCAAGAGAUCAAUUGUUGUCUCUAUGUGGUGCCCCCUCCCCCGUAUAUAAAGGAGUGGAGGAGGGGGCCGGCCAAGGGGGGUGGUGCGCCCUAGGGGGGGAGUCCAACUCUCACCGGGAGUAGGACUCCCCCUUUUCCAAUUAGGAGAGGGAGAGGGAAGGAAGAGGAAGGAGGGAGGAAGGAAAGGGGGGGGCGACCCCCCUACCAAUUCGGAUUGGGCUUGGGGGGGCGCGCCCCCUCCCUUGCUCCUUUCCCCGCCUUUCCACUAAGGCCCAAUAAGGCCCAUAUACCUCCCGGGGGGUUCCGAUAACCUCCCGGAGCUCCAGUAUUGUCCCAAUCUCACCUGGAACCUUUCGGGUGUCCAAAUAUAGUCCUCCAAUAUAUCAAUCUUUGUCUCUACCAUUUCGAGACUCCUCGUGAUGUCCGUAAUCACAUCCGGGACUCCGAACAACCUUCGGUACAUCAAAACUCAUAAACUCAUAAUAAAACUGUCAUCGUAACUUUAAGCGUGCGGACCCUACGGGUUCGAGAACUAUGUAGACAUGACCGAGACACGUCUCUGAUCAAUAACCAAUAGCGGAACCUGGAUGCUCAUAUUGGCUCCUACAUAUUCUACGAAGAUCUUUAUCAGUCAAACCGCAUAACAACAUACAUUGUUCCUUUUGUCAUCGGUAUGUUACUUGCCCAAGAUUCGAUCGUCGGUAUCUAAAUACCUAGUUCAAUCUCGUUACCGACAAGUCUCUUUACUCGUUACGUAAUGCAUCAUUCUGUAACUAACUCAUUAGCUACAUUGCUUGCAAGGCUUAUAGUGAUGUGCAUUAUCUAGAGGGCCCAGAGAUACCUCUCCGAUAAUCGGAGUGACAAAUCCUAAUCUCGAAAUACGCCAACCCAACAUGUACCUUCGGAGACACCUGUAGAGCUCCUUUAUAAUCACCAGUUACGUUGUGAUGUUUGGUAGCACACAAAGUGUUCCUCCGGUAAACGGGAGUUGCAUAAUCUCAUAGUUAUAGGAACAUGUAUAAGUCAUGAAGAAAUCAAUAGCAACAUACUAAACGAUCAAGUGCUAAGCUAACGGAAUGGGUCAAGUCAAUCACAUCAUUCUCCUAAUGAUGUGAUCCCGUUAAUCAAAUGACAACUCAUGUCUAUGGUUAGGAAACUUAACCAUCUUUGAUUAACGAGCUAGUCAAGUAGAGGCAUACUAGUGACACUAUGUUGUCUAUGUAUUCACACAUGUAUUAUGUUUCCGGUUAAUACAAUUCUAGCAUGAAUAAUAAACAUUUAUCAUGAAAUAAGGAAAUAAAUAAUAAGUUUAUUAUUGCCUCUAGGGCAUAUUUCCUUCACAUAUAUAUAUCAUAUGCUGAAGUGGCUGUCCAGCGCCCUGUGGGCGGUGGUUCUUGUUCUUCUCCGGCGUCGUCGUCCAUACUGUCGAUGUCUUUGGAGUCGAAAUCAAGCAUGUCGGUUAAGUCGUCGAUAGUGGCUAUUAAGUGGAUGGUGGGUGGGGAACGAAUUUCUUCAUCGUCCGCUUCCCACUCAAGCCGGACAUAGUUAGGCCAAGAGUCUCCUGACAGGGAGAGAGAUUUCAACGAAUUUAGCACGUCGCCCAAGGGCGAGUGCUGAAAGAUAUUCGUGGAGGUAAACUCCAUGAUCGGCACCCAAUCAGGUUCAGUGGGUGCAGAUAUACGCGGUUCGGAGCCUGCAGCCGGCGACGAGUCCAAGGGUCCGAUGACACAGACCUUAUUGGAGGCGAAGUCUGUGUUCGGCUCUACCGCCGAUGAGUGUGCAGCCUCCGUGGUGGGGCCUAUCCACCCGUCCUCGGAUGGCACGAUCUGCUCCAGAUUAAGAGCUGGGGCAGCUGCAGGUGCAAUCUCCCGAACACCGUCCGAUGGCAGAUCUAAGUCAUGCUCAUCAUGACUGUUCGGCGCACCUGUCAUGGGCUUGAAUCCAUCGAAGAUCAAGUCUCUGUGGAUGUCGGCGGUGUAGUUCAGGCUUCCAAACCUGACCCGAUGGCCAGGGGCAUAGCUAUCGAUCUGCUCCAGAUGGCCAAGCGAGUUGGCCCGCAGUGCGAAGCCACCGAAUAUGAAGAUCUGUCCGGGAAGGAAAACCUCACCAUGAAUCGCAUCGUUGUGGAUGAUCAACGGAGCCAUCAAGCCUUAUCGUGACGACACAGUGGAACUCUCAAUGAAAACACCAAUGUCGGUGUCAAAACCGGUGGAUCUCGGGUAGGGGGUCCCGAACUGUGCGUCUAAGGCUAAUGGUAACAUGAGGCGGGGGACACAAUGUUUACCCAGGUUCGGGCCCUCUAUAUGGAGGUAAUACCCUAUUUCCUGCUUGAUUGAUCUUGAUGAUAUGAGUAUUACAAGAGUUGAUCUACCACGAGAUCAUAGAGGCUAAACCCUAGAAGCUAUCCUAUGAUUAUGAUUGUUGUUGUCCUACAGACUAAACCCUCUGGUUUAUAUAGACAUCGGAGGGGGCUAGGGUUACACAGAGUCGGUUACAGAGAAGGAAAUCUACAUAUCCGAAUUGCCAAGCUUGCCUUCCACGCAAAGGAGAGUCCCACCUGGAAACGGGACGAAGUCUUCAAUAUUGUAUCUUCAUAGUCCAACAGUCCGUCAUAAGUAUAUAGUCCGGCUAUCCGAGGACCCCUUAAUCCAAGACUCCUUCAGCCGACACUACCCCCAUAGCCGCCGCAACCGCCCGUCCACCUCCUUCGUCUUCGUCCAGCACCAGCCCGUCAUCAGCGUCGCCGUCAUCUUCCCCGACCACUUCGUCUACUCCGACCACCGUUGGUGACAUUGGCCUCGCGCCGAUGGACGCCACACUCAUCUUCGAGUUUUUCUCUGUUGGCCCCUCCGACUUCUCCGACAUGGCGUACAGCUCAUGCAGGUCCCAGUCUCCGCAUGCCUGGUGCUGGCAACACCGAUGCAUGCCUUCAUCCACGACGUGUCCCUGGGCCUGGCCAGCCUGGUCGGCACUUCCUUCGACUUCGUCUUCGUCCACCUAUGCAUGCCCGGUGCUGGCAACAAUGGUGCAUGCCUUCAUCCACGAUGUGUCCCCGGGCUUGGCAAGCCCGCCGCGAAGCGUCGUCAACAACAUCUUCUUCCCGGUGCACCACUACUUCGACACCACUGCGCCCAUGCUAACUCGGCCCCCCUUGCGCCCGCGGUUCCACAUCGACUUCCUCGACACCGGCCACCCCGACUCGACAUCGACCACGACAUUCUUCACACGGCUACCUCGACCACGGCUACACCACUCACGCGAUCGGCUACAUCGACAAACGACACAAAGGGCUAUCGCCUGAUUGAGCAACCUCGUCGGUUUCCACUCCAGCCACAACUCUGCGAUGCAUCGACCGUNNNNNNNNNNNNNNNNNNNNNNNNNNNNNNNNNNNNNNNNNNNNNNNNNNNNNNNNNNNNNNNNNNNNNNNNNNNNNNNNNNNNNNNNNNNNNNNNNNNNNNNNNNNNNNNNNNNNNNNNNNNNNNNNNNNNNNNNNNNNNNNNNNNNNNNNNNNNNNNNNNNNNNNNNNNNNNNNNNNNNNNNNNNNNNNNNNNNNNNNNNNNNNNNNNNNNNNNNNNNNNNNNNNNNNNNNNNNNNNNNNNNNNNNNNNNNNNNNNNNNNNNNNNNNNNNNNNNNCUCCAGUCUCACCGUCUGCGUCGCUACCGUUGUGACUGCGGGGGAUGUUGAGUAUCGUGAUUAUUAGGAAAGACGAGAUAAACUAGGAUUUGUUCUAGCUUGUCUUGUACUCCAAGUAGAUCAUUGUACUCCUAUAUAUAUGCCCACGAGGCUCAAACAAUAGAACAAACAACUAUUCCACCAGAUCCCUCUCUCCCUUCUAACAUUUACGUUAUUUGAACAGGUGACCAACUUUAUAUUUCCCCGCAACCAAGGUGAUGAACGAAGACGAACCAACAUGUAGUUGGAUGGUUAGGAGGAUGAGAGUAUUCUUGGCCCACUCGGGUUUAAGUCUCAGUGGGAGAAGAUGUUCCCGUCGACUACAAGACGGCUACGGUGACUUUGAGUGUAUGCUUGUAUAUAUGAGUGUUUAGAGCAACUCCAACGGGGCGACCCAUUUCGUUGGCCGCCGUCCGUUCGGGUCUACGCGGACAAAAGUGGAGGCCCAACGCGCCGAUCCAAACCCAAAACGCGUCCGCUUCGCGUUCGCGCCGACGCAUUUGCGUCCCAAAUUUGCGCCCCAAAUGCAUCAGCACGGAGGCGGAACAGACGCCGCGCGCGCCUUCUUGACGUCCGCCGCGGCCCCACCUGGCGGUUGCUCAACUACCCGCCCUCUCGCGGGUCAGCUUAAUUUAUGACCCUGAGCCCACGCAUCAGCAACGGCGGUCGUCCUUUUUUAAGCCGACCAUGUGGCGGGGCCCUCCUCAUCCAUUUUCCGUCCCCAUCGAGGCCAUGCUCGCUCCGCCGUCGCUGGCAAGACAACCCUAGCCACCCCAGCCGCCCAAAUGGGGCUCUUCUCCGGCAGCAGCAGCAAGCCGAAGGGCAAGGUUCCCGUCGUCCCCUUCCCCAUGGAGUUCACCCCGCCUCCGCCUGCGCCUGCUUGCCGGCAAAGGCAGCGGGUGAACGUGCCCGUGCACCAGGCGGAGUGGCACUGGCACCACUGCGUGCUGCUGCCGUACCCCGACGUGACGCUGCCGCACGACUGGCAUCUGAAUCCGGAAAGGAUCCCAGUGUCGGCGGCGCCGCGGUCGGCUAGGGAGCAUGCGGAGGAGGUGCAUCGCCGGCAGGCGCUCCUGACGCGGGAGCAGCGCCGCGAUGAGGCGUACGCCUUCGACUCGCUCAACUGGGCGCGCUGGUUCGCUUCGAGCACGAGGGGGCGAGGCAGCGCGACGUGCGGAGGUCGCCCACAGUGUGCCGCCGCCGCCGCUCAUCAUCAGGGAGGAAGACCAGGCAGCACGGGACGCCUACCAGGCGGCCCUUGCGGCCGUCUACCGGGAGAGCGAGGAGGACGAGCGGCGCAAGGCGGAGGCGGCAGAAGAAUAAGAAGCUCGGUACGAGGCGGCCAUGGUGUAGGCCAUGGCCCUCUCCGCGGCCGGCGACUGCGUGGUGCUGCCGGUGGCCCCGCCGUCCCCUCCCCAACGCCUCGUCAAGGCCGACCCGGAGCCGCAGCCACAACCGGAGCCGGAGCUGGGCUCCACCGCGAGCUUCUCCUGGACGGGAAUGGUGCGCGAGUGGGUGUCGGCGCCACCGGUUUGGAUGGGGGCGACCCCCGGCGCAGGAGGCGGCAUACCUCGAGCACGGGCGCCAGCGACGGCUGGCUGAGGAGCGGUGUCAAGGCGAGUACGAGGAGAUGCUCGAGCGCGACCUCGAGGAGGAGGCGCGCGAGACUCAGGAGNNNNNNNNNNNNNNNNNNNNNNNNNNNNNNNNNNNNNNNNNNNNNNNNNNNNNNNNNNNNNNNNNNNNNNNNNNNNNNNNNNNNNNNNNNNNNNNNNNNNNNNNNNNNNNNNNNNNNNNNNNNNNNNNNNNNNNNNNNNNNNNNNNNNNNNNNNNNNNNNNNNNNNNNNNNNNNNNNNNNNNNNNNNNNNNNNNNNNNNNNNNNNNNNNNNNNNNNNNNNNNNNNNNNNNNNNNNNNNNNNNNNNNNNNNNNNNNNNNNNNNNNNNNNNNNNNNNNNNNNNNNNNNNNNNNNNNNNNNNNNNNNNNNNNNNNNNNNNNNNNNNNNNNNNNNNNNNNNNNNNNNNNNNNNNNNNNNNNNNNNNNNNNNNNNNNNNNNNGCCGACACUGCCCCCGCCGGAAUAGCUGCCCCCGGUCUACAUCGCCGCCGCAUGGGCCACGGCGUUCCCCUGGGCCGACCCUCCGCCGACGCUCAUCGACCUCACUGACCCCGAGGACGACGACGACGACGACGCCUAGGGUGCGUUGGACAGCGCGCCGCCUCGUAGUUAGGUUGUUUUUAAAUUUUUUUUAAUGCUAUUGUGGACGCGUGGACUCUCGCCGGCCUUCCUGGUCGGCUUUAAUGUUUAAUUAAAUUAUUUUCAGUUGAAAUAUGCAUGCACAGUUUUUUUUUUGUCGGCACCGUCAAAAUGGGUCGGGCGCGCGUUGGGCGCAUACGCCGACCCAAACGCGAAAGCGGACGUCCGUGUCCACCCUGACCGAUCAAAACGGAUAAAAAGCGGACGAAAUCGCUGUCCGUUUGGGUUGGCCCGUUGGAGUUGCUCUUAUGUUUGUAGUGUGUUAAAAAGAAAAGUUGAUCAACCAAGGAUUUGCAGCGAACUACUCGCGGAAUUGGGUUGGACGAAAACAGGGAGCGCCCACACAGAUCUCCAACAAAACGGAGGGCACACUCACGCACAUGCCCCUACGUGUUAUCCUACGCACGAACACGCUCCUUGGCUCUCUCCCAACCCCGAUCGAUCUUUAUCCAGUUGCGGGGCAGUGGUCAUCAAAAAGUAUCAGAGGCGAGUCACGUGGAUUGGUUUUUACUAUAUGCGGGCCAUCUGUGCUCUGCCGCGUCGCCCACCUUACGCUCGUCUGAAACCCACGGUCCCCGCACGCCGGUUUCGCGGUUUCUUGCAGCCUAUAAAUCCGGCCGGAGCACCCAGCUCUGCCACAUCCCAUCUCACACAACCUCUACUCAUCUUACCUGACACACUUCACUUCCUUCGGAUCUCGUGCCACCAAGCUCUGCUCCCGCCAAGAUGUCGACGGUGACCCGCGCCUACCUCGACCAGAGGCUCGCCGCCGCCAAGCGCUGCUCCAAAGGUAACGGUUCGGGCCUCAGGCCAGCACUGCUCUGCUCGUAUAUCCCACCCAUUGCAGCCUAUGCUUGUGCUGAAACCUGACCUGGAUUAACAUUUCCCUACGUUGAUCCGAAACUGCAGAGGCUGCCAUGGCAGGAGCCAAGGCGGCGGCCGUCGCCACCGUCGCUGCCGCAGUGCCCACAGUAAGUAGCCGUUCAGUUCUUCAGUUCCAGAGUUCAUAGCACAUAUCUCAUGAAUGCGUCACCUGUAAUUUAAGCUGGCGAGCGUGAGGAUGCUGCCGUGGGCGAAGGCACACCUGAACCCGACCGGGCAGGCCCUCAUCAUCUCCACCGUCGCCGGGAUGGCCUACUUCAUCGUGGCCGACAAGACCAUCCUCUCCAUGGCCAGGAAGCACUCCUUUGAGGACGCGCCGGAGCACCUCAAGAACACCUCCUUCCACUAAUUAGACUAUAAAAUAGAUCCAUUAGUAGUCCGUAAUAGUCUGCACGCCGGACUGGAAGUGUCUGCUGAAAGAUGGUAUUGUAAUGUUCAGGCAGCACUUCUAUGAAAUCAGGCGAGUGGUGUAGUACUGCGCUUCUUUGCCCGCAAGAACUUAUCUGAUGAAGUGAUCAUGUAUCCACCCAGUAACCUUGAAUUAAUAAUGACUUGCAUUUGUACAACUCAGGCUCACCUGCCAUCACUCAUCUUACAUUUUCUUGUUUGUGAUUAUCGUUUGAAAUGGGACACUGGGAGAGCAUGCACACGGCCGACACAACACCGCAUCAUUUGAUCCCCUACUCCUCAACUGUUCUGCGGUGUACGUCAGGAUCAUGCCACCCCACUUUGUUAAAUCUUUUGCGGACCGGGCUGCGGGAGGCAGGUGGCUCUGUAGGGUGGCCCCAGUAAUCUUUCACUUCAAAUGUUGUGUACUGCUAUUUUGAACAUUUGUAAUGAUAAAUGUGAGUUUAAAUCGCCACUUUUCAUUUAGUAUAUACAUCCGAAUGUACGUACUCCGUAUUGAAAUCUCUAAAAGGGCUUAUAUUUAAGAACGGAUGGAGUAAUAAUAAGUAAAAGUUGUAAAAAAUUAAAUUUGGCAUGGUGACGUUGGUACAUGAACUUGUCAUGGAAAUCUCACACGAUUUCUCGAAACGUGGAAAAAACACUUGAUUAGAAAUGGCCCCUUUUGGCACAGUGUCCGAAUAUUGGUACAUGCUUAGUAGUUUUUUUAUGAUAAAAAUGCUGGCAAUGGAUCCACAUCUCAGUCGAUUCCUGGAGCUAAGCAGGGUGGUUUUCCUACUGGGCUCCUUCCAUCCCCAGUGAGGCCUUGUUCGGUUAAGCCACUCCCCAAGUGGAUUGGAGUGGAAUAGAGGGAAUUUGGGGGGAAUUUGAACUAGAUGGGAUUUAAUCCAUGCCAAUCCCUCUCAUUUGCCAUGGAACCGAACAAGGCCUGAGGAAAACCAGACCCCAUUCACGAAUCACAUGAGAGUAUGAAAUCUGAUGACUCAUUACAUACCACUUUGCUCAUUGAGUCCAUGGCUCGUGAGAUGGAUCAUGAUGAAAAAGUGAGCCCAUGUGUUGGAAAAGCUCUUACUACUUUAUGCAUGAGUGGUGAAAAAAAAACUUAUUCUGAUGUGGUAAACACUCUUCCUAAGGUUGUGGAGGUGGAUGAGCAAAAUGACUCAAAUCUGAAAAUCAUCAAUGACUACAUGGUCGAGUUGCCUGACGUUCAAGUGGACAUUGAGGUGAUUCCUACACCUCCCUUAGUUACGGAAGAGAAUCUGCGUUUCAGUCUGCGCAAUGUGCAAAACAAGAUGGCUAGUGUGGAGGAAAAAGCUAUGGCAGUGGCUAAGAAGAGGGACAUUGAAGGUACUCCCAGAGACCUCAACUCUUUUGAUGCAUUAUCAAAUUCUGAACUUAUUCUUAGAGCAGUCAAGAUGGGAGUUAAUAUUCCAGGUGCAGAUUUUGAUAGUGUGGAUAUUCUAAGGGAAUUGAAAAAUGUAGAAUCAGGGAUAGUUUGAAUGNNNNNNNNNNNNNNNNNNNNNNNNNNNNNNNNNNNNNNNNNNNNNNNNNNNNNNNNNNNNNNNNNNNNNNNNNNNNNNNNNNNNNNNNNNNNNNNNNNNNNNNNNNNNNNNNNNNNNNNNNNNNNNNNNNNNNNNNNNNNNNNNNNNNNNNNNNNNNNNNNNNNNNNNNNNNNNNNNNNNNNNNNNNNNNNNNNNNNNNNNNNNNNNNNNNNNNNNNNNNNNNNNNNNNNNNNNNNNNNNNNNNNNNNNNNNNNNNNNNNNNNNNNNNNNNNNNNNNNNNNNNNNNNNNNNNNNNNNNNNNNNNNNNNNUGGGAAGAAAAAAGAGAGAAAGGUUAAUAUUGUUAUAUCUGGACCUACUACCAGAAGUCAAAAAGGGGGUGUUUCCUUACAAGAUGAUAAGGGUAACUCUACUUUGCCUCCUAGUAGAGUUACCAAGAGGGGGGGGGGGUCAAAAAGAAAAAAAUGAAUGGUCUAUUUUUGAAUUGGAGAGGAGCAGGUAAGAAAGGGAUGACUACCUGCUUCUCUGAAAUCAUUAGAGAUCAUUCCCUCAACUUUAUUGGCCUCCAAGAGACUAAGAAAACCAAAUUUACUCCUAAGUACUUGAGGAAGAUUGACCCCUUUGAGAGAUUCAAUUUGAACUGGGUCCCCUCCAUUGGAAAAUUGGGUGGGAUUUUGUGUGGGGUCAAAAAGAGAAACCUUAGACAGUGUUGCAUGGACAGUGGGUAAAUAUCUCCUUCAAGUUAAUGUGUUUGAUGUAAAGCUAAAAUGCAUGUGGGCCCUCAUAGUUGUAUAUGGGGCUGCCCACGAUGAAAAUAAAGAAGAAUUCCUAGCUGAGUUACCUCGGUCUGCUCCCAUAUUAGAUUACCCUAUAUUAUGGGUGGUGAUUUCAACAUCCCGCGGGAUAGUAGCGAAAAAAAUAAGCACUUGACCCGUUCUCAUUAUGUGGAUAAAUUCAAUGAUGUCAUUCACUCCUUGAACCUACAUGAGAUAGAUAUGGGAGGAGGUAAAUAUACUUGGACCAACAACCAAAAACACCCCACCUUAGAGAAACUAGACAAAGUUCUGAUGAGCUUUGAUUGGGAAGAUCUCUUCCCUCUAGUCACGGUUUGCAAGUCAGUAAGAGAUAUGUCAGAUCACAAUCAUUUACUGUUAUCCUCGAGUCCUAUGAAAACAAGCCCCCUUCACCAUCGUGAAUUUAGAUUCGAGCGUAGCUGGCUAAAAAAUGAGGUUUUUUUAUCAUAAAGCUAAGAGCAUUUGGGAACAGUAGUUAACUCGAGUGACCCGAUUGAUAUCCUUAACAUUAAGUUGAAACGUAUCAAGAAAUACUUUAAAGGUUGGGGAUCCCACUCCUUUGGCCAUGCUAGAAAAAGAAAGCAAAAGAUAAAGGAGGAGUUAGAAGAAAUUGAGAAAAAGGAAGAGGUCGGACCCCUUGAUCCUGAUAUGUAUGAAAAAAGAACUACCUUAUGUGCUGAGCUUAAUGACAUCCUUGCUGAUGAGGAACUCUUUUGGCUACAACACUCGAACGAGCGUUGGCUGCUCAAAGGAUAUCAAAAUACUGCCUUUUACCAUCGCGUUGCUAAUGGGAGGAAAAGAAAAAAAUGCUAUCCAUUCUCUAACGAAUGGGGAGGUGGUAAUUGAGGGCACAAAAAAUCUCCUAGCCCAUGUCACCUCCUUCUAUAAGGAUCUGUUUGGCCCAGCCAGAGGAAAUCUUUUCCUUCUGUCCCUAGAUACCUGGACUGAGGGAGAAAAACUUACUAGCGAAGAUAAUUUCCUACUCACUAGUGAGUUUAUAGAGGAGGAAGUUAAAAAAGCCUUGUUUGGCAUGGAGAGCAACAUAACCCUUGGUCCGGAUAAUAUACCGGCAGGAUUCUAUAAACACUGCUGGGAUUUUGUAAAAAAAUGACAUAAUGUGUCUUUUUAAAGCUUUCCAUGACAACACGUUGGAUAUUGAAUGCUUGAAUUAUGGAGUGAUUACCCUACUCCCAACAAUGAAUGGGGCUAAAAAAAUCCAACAAUAUCGUCCCAUCUGCUUACUUCGGUGUCCCUAUAAGCUAAUCACCAAGGUGCUUGAUAAUAGGGUGGCUGUUUAUGUUGAUAAGCUAAUCAGCCGGCAUCAGAAUGCAUUCAUUAAGCACAGAAACAUAAUGGAUGGGAACCUUACUCUCCACGAGGUGUUUCACCACACACAUCACAAGAAAAAGUGGGGUUGGUCUUGAAACCGGACUUUGAAAAAGCCUACGACAAGAUUAAUUGGGAUUUCCUUCUGGAAUAUCAUCGUAACCGUGGCUUUGGUAAAACCCGGUGUGGAUGGGUGGAGAAAAUUUUACACAAUGGCACAGUGAGUAUUAGACUAAAUAAUGAAGUGGGCCCUUAUUUCCAAAGCCACAAAGGAGUACGCCAAGGCGGCCCCUAUUCUCCUUUUCUAUUCAACCUAGCUGUUGAGACCCUACCGAAGAUGAUCCUUAAUGCUCAAAAAGAAAAACUCCUUACUGGGUUGGCUCCUAAUCUGAUUGAAUGGGGAGUAGCUAUCUUACAAUACGCAGACGAUACUGUGAUAUGCAUAGAACAUAAUAAAGAUGCUGUUGUAAACUUGAAACUUCUGCUAUAUAUGACCGAGCUUAUGUCAGGCCUAAAAGUCAAUUUCCUCANNNNNNNNNNNNNNNNNNNNNNNNNNNNNNNNNNNNNNNNNNNNNNNNNNNNNNNNNNNNNNNNNNNNNNNNNNNNNNNNNNNNNNNNNNNNNNNNNNNNNNNNNNNNNNNNNNNNNNNNNNNNNNNNNNNNNNNNNNNNNNNNNNNNNNNNNNNNNNNNNNNNNNNNNNNNNNNNNNNNNNNUGAGGACACGCUGGCCUUUUAUGCGGAGUUGUUUAAUUGUAAUAUUGGGAACUUCCCAAUGAAAUACUUGGGAGUCCCAGUCGGUUAUUCAAAUCUUCGUGUCUUGGAGUGGGACUUUGUUGAUGAAAGAUUCCUUAAAUGCUGCGAAGCCUGAAUUGGGAAUGCAGCAUCCUCGGGAGGAAGACUUAUACUACUCAAUUCCUCACUUACGAGCAUUGUGUACUGAUACGUCCAUUUUGCAUCAUGCAGCAUCCUCGGAAUGUAGAAGAAUAAUACAAUGAAAGUGGCAUAGUCUUUCUUCUCUUCCAGCAAUUGAUUUCCCACUCUUGCUCAUAUGCAUUCCACUAUGAUGAAGCAGGUCCAAGUCUCUCGCUUGACAGCAGAGUAGGGCAGGGUGUGACUCGGUGUUAACCUUGGCCUGAAAUGGACAAAAAUUAUGAUAUCAUAGGGAGAACAACAUUAAUAACAUAUGAAAAUACCCAUUAUACAUAGGGGAUUACCUAAAAUUGGUGAUCAUAUUUCAUUGCCUGUGCAUGCAAUCGCCAUUUACAACAUUUUGUUUGCCUACAAUGCGCCCUAAGCAUUUUUUGGUUAAUCUUUUUUAGUGAUAAACUCAAACUCCCUUCUAUAGCCAUAAGUUGCAAGUGCUUAUCUACAGUCCUCCACGGAAUCAAUGAUAGUCUCUGCUUUCAUAUUAGAGUCGCCCUACCUAAGGAGAUUACAGACCUAUCAUCUUCUUCUUCUAGACUGUGAGAUGCCAUUGCCUAUUCCUUGUCGUCGUCAGUCAAAUAGCCAGCCACAUACACAUGUCGAUAAGUUUUCUCAUCAUUAGUGGGUAAAUCUUACCAAGUCUAAUUGUUAACAGCAUGAAACAACAUCCACAUGGUCCUCAUAGACACGUGUCUACCAAACAUCAACAACAAACAAUCAUCAUCAGCUACGUCAAUAAAUUUCUCUAGUGUCAUAGUGCCUCAUCAGGUAAUGCUCGUUGGGAUGAUAGUAAUACUUCUCAAAUUGCUUAAUUCGGUCCUUCUGACUUACUAACAUAGCGUCUAUAGGCAAUUGAUAGUGAAACCCGCCACUAAUUUCCAAGCUACCACCGGUCAAGCGAUGGGUGUAACACCCAUGCAGAAUUUUCAAGAACAUCAAGAAGUUGUUUGGAGGUACAAUCCAACGCAAAGUAGAAAAUCAUGAGUGCGAUAUUCGAAUAGAAAAAAUGUGAAUCGUCAAAAAGGUUCAAGAUAAUGGUGGAUUUCUUACCCCCAUGGGCGAAACGAUGCUUUCACUAGGCUCCAGAGGCCCUGGCCGUCGUAAAGAUCUGUCUGAGCGGAGAUCAUGAGAACAUCGAGGUGGCGGUGGUUGCGGAACAGUGGGAGAACGUGACUCGAAGUGGUGGGAAGAAGAGGGCCCCUACCCACCAAUAUUUAGGAACGCGCCACUAUCGACGGCUAGAGGUGGCCCACAACAGACAAAGACAUCAGGUUGGCAAAAAUGGAGAUUAUGGCCUCAACUACGUUCCCCCACAUCGGUUGGAAUGGUCAAAGGGCUCCUUAUUAAUAUUGGUGGCACGAUGUCAAAGUGGAAAAAUGGAAAUUGUGGCCUCAACGGUGUGCCUCCACAUCGGCCGGAGUCUUCUCGUCGCUGCGGUUGAUGUGGCGAAGUAGUGGGUCCCAGAUGGAAUGAGAUGAUGUGUGGGGCAUACAUCUAAUUCUUUUGCAAUCGCAAGUGGCGUGGACUAAAAUACGGAAGUUUGAGUGACAAGACUCAAAUAUACAACUUUGGCAGCGGCACAAACCUAUUUUUCCAUAAAUAUAAUAUUAAAAAAAUCCCUCAUGGGUUUGAUGAUAUUGAUUGGAAAUGUAUAUGUUCAUACUUCUUUCCUAUAAACUAUAUCAAAGCGUAAUCAGACAAAAGUAAUAUACACUCUAUUUUGAAAUGUAGGGAGUAAGCCAUAUCUAUAAAAUAUCAUGACCAUGGCUAUUGAUGAUUUCUCUAUACUACUCAUGUCAUUUAAUAGGAUUUAUUGGCAUUUAUUUGGAUAAGGAUAACCUUUUGUUGUGGGUCGGAUAAGGAUAAGCUUGAUGCAAAAGAAACUGAAACAUGCCGUUUAAUGACAUUAAUUGGAUAAGGACAACCUUAAUGCAACCACAUCUACAUAAGACGACUGAACGGUACAAAUCAUGACCACAAAAACCAUAUCGAUUGAUAGACUAUUGCAUAAUUACAUAUUCUCAGUUGUUCUGUGUUCUUAGGCAAUGACAAAAAAUAGCAUCUUCCAAGUGAUCAUAGCGUUACUCAUGGUGCAAGUCUGCUUGCUCAUGAUGAUGGCAGCACCGGCAGCACAUGCAGCUGCUAGACCAGUGGGGUACAAUCCAGUGUGCUGUCCUAGGAACAUUUACUGUUGCGGGUUCGGUGGCGCAUUGGCCAAUGCACCCGCACCAUCCAUUGAGCCUUGAUGUGUGGUGUUAUUGUCUCCUCGAGGUAGUAAGCUCGACAUAUAAAUGAUAUAUGUAGUUUUAUUGUCUCAUGUGUUACUUGUUCCUGAAUAUUUGUGAUGCUAUUUUCAAGAAGAUAUUGUACUAGCUACUUAUGUAAUAAAAUGGGAGGAGAUUAUUAUAUAUAUUGUGUUAAACAAAGAGAUUCAAAUUUAUGUUUACGUUAUUCCUUUUGGAAACAAGAUUACUUGGACACAUUGCUUUAUGGCAAAAAACCAGUGGUGAGGUGCGUGCCUAUGAGAAUUUCUGUUUUAUCGUUCCGUUGGUCCUCCAUUUGUCGAGAUUGUCUGGGUCGUGGCAACAUGUUUUAUUUUUCACAGAGGUCAUAACUUUUUGUAGCAUUUAUUGAGUGAUGGAGUACAUCACCAAUUAGUAGAAACCAACUACUGUUGGCGAUGCUUGUUUAUGAAUCAAGGGAUCCACACUCUCUUCCUUUUUUGCAAGAAGGCCGAGGCCAUGUAUUAAAAUUGUCCAACCCUUACAACACCAUCCUUACAACAGAAGAAAAAUAGAAAACAUAUCCUGGGUUAUAUCAAGGGCGUCUUCCUUCCGGACUUAUACGGCGUGAGCAAAGCUCGAUGUCGCCUUUGGAUUUCCAGAACACCUUAGAGCCAGGGUAAAUCAUUCUCUACAUUUUUCAAGUGAGUGCUCAAUUCCUAAAAAACAGUCAAAUAACUAGUAUAUAAAUACAACUUUUUAUUCUUUGAUGGAGCACGAAGGGAUUGUUUGCCGUGGAUCCUACAUGUGUAAUCUAUAUAUUAAUCUAUUACUAUACUAAUUAGAGACACCUUCGAAAUUCCCAUGGUUAAUCAGGAAAUACGAACUGCUCAUCUGGUGGGACCAAAUUAUUGCGGUGUAGAUAUUUUAAUUUUUUCUCACAUUAAUAAAAAAUAAACAGUAAUUAUAAGCCACACAUCUGGUGGGACUAAGUUAUUACCGCUAGAAUUUUGCUCCAUUCUAGUAAGCACAAAUAAUAAUCACUCAAAACUUUGUUGUAAAAAUAGAACCCUACAAAAUUACAGUUCAUUCUCUAGUCUCAACAAUUCAAAAGAAGAAAGAAAACUCCCAUCUCAAUAUGGGCACUACACAGUUUCUUCCUCUCCCCAUUAAGAAGAUCAUCAACCGCAAACAAUCUCCAUAUAUUCCAUGGCCACGCAUAGCACUGUCCAUUGGAUUUGCGAUCGAUGGUCUUGGUCGUUGGCGGAGGCCUUCCUCAAUGGUGUGGCCGAACUCGAUCUGCGGGUGAGGUCAAGAUACCGCUUUGGUCCUAGAGGUUUGGUAUAGGGUCUCACAUAAGGAAAAUGGACGAAAAAUUAAGUGAAGGCAGAGAACCCAUAGACAAAGAGAAGCGAAGUUUGUGCCCCAAGCUACUCACUAUGCGCACGUGGUUUCGACACUAGAUGCUGUUUGUUAUUACCAACCAUUUGUAGGCAGUUUGAUUGUUCUAACUAAACCUGGGCAAACGCCUGGUCGGGCCGGGCUUGUAAAAGCCUAACCUUCAUUUCUCAAGCCUGGCUCGAAGCCCAAAAUACUCUCUGUUUUCAAGACCGAGCCCGGCCCGAAAUCAAGCCCGGCUCGGACGCUGUUUUUAUUGUACGCACGUGCAAGCCUGGCCCAAAGCCCGAAAGCCCGGCCCGAAAUACAGAUAAAGAGAAGCCUGAGCUCGGCCUGAACUAUCUUCCAGGUUGCAAAACAAGGCCCGAGCCCACCCCGAAUGUCAAGCCCGGCUGGGCCCUGUCUGUUCAUGCCCGAGUUUAGUUCUAACCCCCACCAGUCUCGGCCUCUGCAUCAAGCGAUGCACACAGUCAUUUAUUAAAAAGUAUCGGGUCUCAAAGUAUGAGUAACAUCUCAAAUUGCCAAACAAGAACAAGAAAUCAAACAAAUAGUUACAACUGGUAAAAUAGGACUAUGCCUGAACACCUAUCUUAUUAACGGACCACCAUCUAAACAGGUUGUAGUAGCCCGUGCAACCAUCUCCCAUGGGUUGCACCCAAAAACCAUAAGCCCGCUCUCUACCACACGGUGCAGUAAUGACCACUUAGGGAUCCAGCCAGUUGCCUGGUAGAUAACCUGCAAAAAGCCUGUGCUAUUUGUCUUGUUAAAAACACAAUCAUUCCGAUAGUUCCAAAUAGCACAAAUUAAUGCACAAACUAAUUUGUGUCGUAAUAUUGGGCUCAACCCCACCUAGCCAGUUACCAAACAAAUUGGAGAUAAUAUUAAGAGGAGGUACGUUCAAUGACACUUGUAUUGUUCGUCACGAUAAGUUGGAUAUGGGGCAAGUGAGAGACAAAUGUUGAGUCGUUUCAUCAUGAUCGCAAAACUACACCGUUUACUCCCCUCCCACCUACGUUUUAAGCCAACUCUAACCGAUCCCCUACAAAAUAGAUGAGGAUCCGUCCGAGCAAAGCUUGGUGGAUUAUAUUUACUCCACUAACUUUUGGCCGGACAUAGUCGAUCCUCUAAAUAUAACAGAGUAAAACUUUUAAUUGGCUUAUUAUGCAAUUCGUUGAACAUGGUGUGCGUCUGCUUGGGGACUCCGACAUGGCGAGCACCCCGACGGCGAGGAACACGGAUUAAACACAUAGCUGACCAGGAUGCAGAUGUUGACAAAAACUGCCACCAAGAUGGCAAGCCAGCCAUUGCCAAUUGCAGCGUGUUGCUUCUGCUGGCAAGCUAAACAUUGCUAAUCACCGGCCAGCACGGCUUGCUACUCGCAUGAUCCUGCUCGUCCUGCACCCCGCCUCGUCCCCCAUCGCGUGUUGCAGCUCCUGUUGCUUCCCCCUGAGGCCUUGUUUGGUAGAGGUGGAUUGAGGAGGUUUUGAGAGGUGGGGAUUGAAGAUGAUUUGGUGAAUCCUUCCCUUUCACCCAAUCCUCUUAAAUUCCCCCAUUUCCCCAAACCCCUCACAUACCCCUACUAUUUGGUACAUAGGGAUUGGUACACUGGGUUUGCAAGAUUACUAUACUAUAGUUAAAAAUGCAAUUUUGACAACUUCCAAAGCUCAAAGAAUCAGUGGCACUCAGAAUCUUUGCUGCAGCCUCAGAUGAUUAAUAUUACCAAGCUAACAUUAAGCAGUGGCACCCAUGGCAAGAAAUGAAACUAGCAAGAUGGAUGCAAGAAUAAGAGGAGAUAAUUAUUAACUGGUGUAAAACAAUCAAGAUAUAACAAGCAUAUUAUCAUGGAGGACUAAAAAUGUAAUGUAAGAGUGAAAACUACAAAUGAUGCGAUAAUACUGAAAUUUCAUUUGUAGAUGACUUUGUACAGGGUAAGUUUCAUGCACAUAAAGCAUCCAAGAUCAUGAUUUCCUGGUGUUUGGGGGACAAGAAAAUACGUGAGAAUUAGGUUCUGAAAAGAAGAAGAAAAUACAGGCGACAGUGCAUUUAUUCAGAGCUUGUUCCUCAAACAAACAAGAAUUGGCCAAUUGAAGAGUUUGCAAUGGAGACAAGGCCUUGAUUUAGAGCAGUUAAUUAGUCCCAAUAUAUUCAGGUGAUAGGUAAUGAUGAGAAGGAUUCACAAAGCAAGCUAGCAAGAUUCGAAUUCAGGCGACAGGGAGCACCGAUUGGGUGGCUUCCAACUUUCCUAGACCCUGACAACGAUUAUCCAUCAAACGAUAUAUCCAUCCAUCCAACGAUUUUCCAUCUAGUGCUACAUAUAUCUCUAGAUAGGCAGAUCCACGACAGGGAUUGACAGCAGUCACCAGGUGGAGCUGGAUACGCAUGGAGCUGGACAAGUUCUUCACUCCAUGGGAGGAGGAAGAAGGCGUGUCCCCCGCCACGGACCUAGGGUUUGCAGGGGAGGGGAUGGAGAAGUGGAGGACUGGAGGAUUCAGCUCGGGAAGAACCGGUGGAGGAGCGCGUCGACGAUCUGGUGGCGGCGGGGCGAUGAAGAUCCGGCAGCGGGACUCCUCCUCUUGGUGGCGGCGGGACGAUGCUCUGUCUCGGUGCGUCUCGCCCGUCUCGUUCCCUGCGGGUGCCCUCGAGGCUUGAAAGACGCGUGGAUAGGAGGGGAUCGAAGGGGGAUCGAGGGGGUUGGGUUGUGCAAACCCCGUGAAACAAAUGGGCCGCCAAAGUUUGUCGAGGUUUUUGAGCCCCGCGGGGUUAAUCCUCUCGAAACCCUCUCGAUCCUCCUGUAUCAAACGAGGCCUGACGGAGGACUGCACCCCGCCACCGGGCUCGACCAUGUAGUGCCUGAAGGGCCUGAACUCCUCCGUUGGACAGGCCUAAGGAAAGCUGAAGCUAGAUGGCGUCGCCGACUGCCUGCGAGAUGGGCCCCGGCAGUGAGUGUGGUGCUGCGUGGCACGAUGGCAGCAUGAGCUGCAGCUUGAGGUCAUGCCGAAAGCUCAUGCCACAGGCGCUCGGGAUGGGACGUGGCACUAGGCGGCGACCCGAUGAAAAGCCAGUGGUGGAGGCGAGGUCGCUGGGGGAGGUGGGUGGCCUAGGCUGCGGGUGGUCACCUAGGGGUGCCGGAGGAAUAGGGUGGCCACAGAGUGGGGAUGGCGCGGUCUUAGGGGGUGGCCCCAGAUUUUACUCGGCCGCCUCCAGGAGGAGUAAAUUUAGGGGUUGGAUAGCCGGAUGAGUAAAAUUUAUCCACCCUAGUACUUCGGCUAUGUGCAGCAUAAAGAAGGAAAAUCCAAUUUAUCCUCCCUUAUAGCCCGAUAGAGGAUCGGUUAGACUUGGUCUUACUAAGUUGUCCUUUGUUAAAAUCACUCAUUAUGCAUGAAUAACCUAAAGGUCUUGAUUUUAAAGGGGCCUUUGCUUUUUAAACUUGAUUUCAGCACGUCCAAAGACCGGUUUGGGUAUUACAGGUGAUGUCGUUCUGUUUGUUCAUAACUGCUUCUAGUGCCCGUUUUUCCUACUAGUGAAUAUUGGUUUCGUGCAUCGAUUUGGGAUGAUUGCUUUGCUCAUGGUGUACUUCGGCGAGUCGGGGUCGCUGGUCGCCUGCGUGCAGCUAUGAAGUUAUUCGUGCAAUUUUUUUCUUAAUUAAUAAAAAUGAAAGUCUUUUACCAAUUUAACAAAUCAAUUAGCAUUAUGCCGAGGAGGGACUGAGGGAGGCCGGCCAAACUGGGGUUGACGAUUGCCGACGCGGCUAGGCGAGCUAGGCCAAAAACAAGGAGCGCUCACACAGACAGAAAUGGAGUGCACGCUGACUGACACUGCACUUACGCACAUCGGCACAUGGUCCUACCUAUACGUGUUAUCCUACGCACGCUCCGUGCCAACCCCGAUGGACGUCUGCCUCCUCUUAUCCGGUGCAGAGUCUAGUAGAGCGCCCGCCCAUCGCGUGCUCCCAUUUUAAUAUGACCAACGAGGCGACGCCACUGUACCUGUGCUCUGCCCCGCCGCACCGCCCCCCGGUUCUACCAAAACCACGGUCUUGCCUCCCACCGUAUCAACUCGCCAUCCUUCCCGCCCGCCGGUUGCGCGGUUUCCAGCAACCUAUAAAUCCCGCCGGAGCACCUUGCUCUGCCAAUCUUAGCUCAUCUCACUCACACUGCUUACUUGACUUCACUACCUAGCUCACUUCCUUCGGAUCUCGUGCCACCAAGCUCUCUUCCACGGCCACGAAGAUGUCUACGGUGACCGGUGCCCACCUAGACCAGAGGCUCGCCGCCGCCAAGCGCUGCUCCAGAGGUAACCAAAACGAUGUCCCGCCGGUCCUGCCGGACAGCAACGCUCGUGUCCUUCUGCUGUCCGCGUCGCAGCCUAUCCCCUCAAAACUUGAUCGUAACUGACAUGUCUCUGUUGAUUUGAAACUGCAGAGGCUGCCAUGGCGGGAGCCAAGGCCGCAGCCGUCGCCACCGUCGCUGCCGCAGUCCCCACAGUAAGUAGCCAUUCAGUUCUUCCACGAAAUCCUUGCACGGUUCAUAGCAUGUCUCAUGAAUGCGUUAUCUGUAACUUCAGCUGGCGAGCGUGAGGAUGCUGCCGUGGGCCAAGACGCACCUGAACCCCGCCGGGCAGGCGCUCAUCAUCUCCACCGUCGCCGGGAUGGCCUACUUCAUCGUCGCCGACAAGACCAUCCUCUCCAUGGCCAGGAAGCAUUCCUUCGAGGACGCGCCGGACCACCUCAAGAACACCUCCUUCCACUAAUUAGGCUAUACUUUCAAUAAUUAGUAGUAGUGCGCAAUAAACUACACGCCGGCCCGUACGGCCGUACGUGUCUGCUGAAUGAUACUAGUAUGAUGUUCAGCGAGAGAGGCGAGGCGAUGCAGAUCAGGCCUCGCGCUUCUAUCCGUGCAAGCACUUAUCUCAUGAAGUUACCAUGUAAUCCAGCUAGUAUUCUUGGAUAAAUGAAUACUAGUAUUUGUACAACUCUAGUUCAUCUGCCAUCACUCAUCUUACAUGUGGCAGAGCAUAAAAAAAGAAUCUCCGACGCCGACCCCUAAAACGGACACUAUACCCGUUUGUGAGCCGGUCAUUUGACGCUAAUCCAUCAAACGUCCAGGCACAUUUCAAAUAGAUUUUAAGCAAACUAGAUAAAGCUCAUAUAGAUCAAACGAUUUUCAUUUAAUCCAGGUCAAAUUCAUUACAUUUUAGAUAUAUUUCAACUAAACAAAACCGGACGACACUGUUUACCCCGGUCUAAAUAUUCGUCGGUCGUGGAGGCCUUCGUGUUCCGCAUCAUGUCUUUACCAUGUCCGGCAAGUUCAGUGGCCGCAAGCUUUUGUGAAGUGAAGUGGCCGGAGGGGAAGAAUAUAACAUCAUGUCUUUACCAUGUCUGGCAAGUUCAGUGGCCGCAAGCUUUUGUGAAGUGAAGUUGCCGGAGGGGAAGAAUAUAAGAUGGGACACGACUCACAUGGGACCCGAGACUUGCCCACAUCAUGUUCUUCCCGGCCAGAGUCCAUCAUGUGGACGUUGCCGGGCAUGGAUGGAUCGGCCUCGUGGCCAUUACGGUUAGGCACGAACCGUGCUAGCGGCGCGACCAACGAGGAACUGGCGACGUCUGUGAUGUUUCUGCCCCAUCUUCGUCCGUCUCCGCGUCGAUCUCCAUGAGCAGGGUGUUAAUCGCCUCUUGCAGGACGCAUUGCCGCCAUCGCUUGCGAGGGAUGUCGUGAACUGCGGCCAACGACCAUGAGGCGAGUCCAUUCAACAUUUCCGACACGGAGGUUGUCUCAUCUCCAACGACAAGUACAACCAGGAUAGUUUGAUCUAUGUACGAUGUAGUACGUGGUUUAAUUUUAUGUUCCAUGAUGUAGCAUAAAAAAAGUAGAGGAUGAGAUUUGAGGUUUAGAGUAUCUCUAGCAGACCCCGAAAACGAGGACCUGUAAACUCAGUUUAAAGUUCGCUCAUUGCCUCGGAUACGGGCCGAAAACCUCCGCGAAAGAACAGAAACCGUAAAUGGAACUGUAAAUUUUGAAUUCAAGACUUCGCGGAAGAAAUAGAAGAGUUCAUAGUUCUUGAUCAGCAUACAUAGUUCAUACAUACACUAAAUUACACUAAAUAGCUAGGAGGAUAGGCAGCCACCGUAACCCUACAGUUAAAAAUUGGCUCAUCGGAGCCAUCAUGGUGCGGUGGCGACACUGCGGCGGCGGACAUCAUCAGUCGUCGGAAACGAGGUCGACGUAGAUGUCGUCCCGCGCCUUCUUCUCGCGGCGCCGUGUGUCUUGGUUGUCGACGAACUCCUUCUUCGCGAGCUCCUGCUCGAGGAGGACAUCGUCGAGGUUCACAAGGGAUUGUCGGCGCCCCUCCUCCUCCCCCCGCACACUGUGCACCAUGAUUGCCCACUCGAAGAUGUCCGCNNNNNNNNNNNNNNNNNNNNNNNNNNNNNNNNNNNNNNNNNNNNNNNNNNNNNNNNNNNNNNNNNNNNNNNNNNNNNNNNNNNNNNNNNNNNNNNNNNNNNNNNNNNNNNNNNNNNNNNNNNNNNNNNNNNNNNNNNNNNNNNNNNNNNNNNNNNNNNNNNNNNNNNNNNNNNNNNNNNNNNNNNNNNNNNNNNNNNNNNNNNNNNNNNNNNNNNNNNNNNNNNNNNNNNNNNNNNNNNNNNNNNNNNNNNNNNNNNNNNNNNNNNNNNNNNNNNNNNNNNNNNNNNNNNNNNNNNNNNNNNNNNNNNNNNNNNNNNNNNNNNNNNNNNNNNNNNNNNNNNNNNGGCGUGCGGGGACUGGACCCCCGAUGGAGGAGGAGCCCGCACCGGCGGUCGUACUCCUCCAUCUCACGGAGGAGGAGCGACUCCAGGGAGUGGAGGUCGUGGUUGGUGUACUUCUUUGCCGCGCGCUUCCUCGCGCCUUCAGCUCGGACACGCCGCUGGCGCUCGGGGUCGUCCCUCCCGCCGAAGCUGCGGCCGGAGCUCCACAUUCCGCCCCACAUAGUGGCAUUCGGUGGCGGGACUGGACUCACCGGCGACGAGAAAUAGAAGGGGGAUUGGGGAGGAUUGGGGAAUCGCGGCGGCGGGGGAUAGGGUUUCGACCCGUAUCGGCGCCGCGAACCCGUAGAUAUACCGCGUCCGGGGACGGCUUGCGGGCCACCAUAAAAUGUUUUACGGGCCGGGCGAGAAUACGGGCUCUGUUCUGGACAAAAAAAAUGGGCGAGCCCGUACAGUCGUCGGGAUUUUACGGGUCUACGCGUUUUGAGGGGUCUGCUACAGAUGCUCUUAUGGUUGCAGCGAAAGAUAAAUGAAGGGUGACCCGGCUCUGUCCAGGGAUGGGUCCAGAUGCAUUUGCGAACAUAUGGGGUCACUUUUGAAAUAUGCAGCUGUAGAUAUUGUAACAUUACCAAGAUUUUCACGGAAUUGUAUCGGGAUGCUUUUGUGUGUGGAAAAGAAUAACUAGUUUCCUACCUCUUCAUCUUUUUUUUGCAGGAAAGACUAAAAUAAAUCUAGAAAAAUGCAAUCACCAAUGCCAAUUCUAGAAUUGGAAUCUUGGUGGGCUAGGAUACCACUGUUCUCCUAACCAUCGAAUCAUUUGCUUCUGCCUUUUCAUCUUAAUAAUUCACACAUCCAUAUUUAUAUUUAUUAUAAACAAUUGUGAGUAGGAGUAAUAAAAUUCAGCACAAAUCAAUCAGUGGCGGGAGAAACAACGCCACAACCGGUGUAGGCAAACAUGCCUACACAAAAAGCAUAAUAUUGCAUCAUCUAUCCUACGUGAAAUGUUAAGUUAUUUUUAAUUAAAGAUAAAUUAUUUGCCUCAUCUAUUAAGUAAGAAAAGACAUGGGAGGAGCGUUUUGGCUACUGGGAGCAUUUACUCCUGGAUGAGCGGUACCGCCAAAAAGGUUGUAAAUCGUUUUUAAAAAAUUCUGAUUUUUUAUGGAUGUUCGUGUUAGUGUCGCAACCUUGCUUGACAAAUUUCAUGCGAUUCGGAAUAUCAGUGUUUCAUCGGUGAAAAACCAAAUUUGGGGUGACAUUUUGGGGCAGCAUUUGAUGUUCAUAUUUGUUUUGUUUUCAUAGGCCAAAAUGUUUAACCUUUUUGCCCAAAACUUUGCAGUAGCAUUUGGAUCUAAGUAUAAAUACAUAAAAUAAUUGUUGGAAUUUUUGUAACAUUUCAAAAAAUUGUUUUUCACACGCAGGAGCACAUGCUCCUGGGAGCCAAAUUGGAUUUCCGGAGAAUGACUCUAAAUAAAAUAAAAGGACAAUAGAGUGUGUGUUAGAAGCCGAAAAUGUGCUCAUUUUUAUUGUAUUCAUUUGAUGCUUUAUUUUGAGUAAUAUAAAAAGCACGAUGGUGAGGCCGACCCCGCCAAACAAAGGAUCAGGCGCUCGCGGAAUUGGAUCGCCGACGGGUUGACCGUAUACUGGGAGCGCCCACACAGGUCGCCAACAAACGGAGUGCACGCAGACAGAUACUGCUCUCACGCACAUGCUCCUACGUGUUAUCCUACGCACCAACACGCUCCCCGGCAACCCCGAUGGGUCGAUCCGCUGCAGAGCCCGCCACUUGUGUUCUGCCGCACCAAAAAAACCACGGUCUUGCUGGCUUCCCACCGUAUCAGGUCGUCUUCCUGCCCGGCCGCACGCUGGUUGAGCGGUUUCCUGCAACCUAUAAAUCCCGCCGGAUCACCUCGCUCUGCCCAUCUCAUCUCACUCGCAUUCACUCAACUGAUACUACUAGCUAGUCCACUUCCUUCGGAUCUCUUGCCACCAAGCUCUGCUCCCGCCAAGAUGUCGACGGUGACCCGCGCCUACCUCGACCAGAGGCUCGCCGCCGCCAAGCGCUGCUCCAAAGGUAACGGUUCGGGCCUCAGGCCAGCACUGCUCUGCUCGUAUAUCCCACCCAUUGCAGCCUAUGCUUGUGCUGAAACCUGACCUGGAUUAACAUUUCCCUACGUUGAUCCGAAACUGCAGAGGCUGCCAUGGCGGGAGCCAAGGCGGCGGCCGUCGCCACCGUCGCUGCCGCAGUGCCCACAGUAAGUAGCCGUUCAGUUCUUCAGUUCCAGAGUUCAUAGCACAUAUCUCAUGAAUGCGUCACCUGUAAUUUCAGCUGGCGAGCGUGAGGAUGCUGCCGUGGGCGAAGGCGCACCUGAACCCGACCGGGCAGGCCCUCAUCAUCUCCACCGUCGCCGGGAUGGCCUACUUCAUCGUCGCCGACAAGACCAUCCUCUCCAUGGCCAGGAAGCACUCGUACGAGACGGCGCCAGAGCACCUCAAGAACACCUCCUUCAACUAAAUUAGACAGUAGAUCCAUUAGUAGUGCGCAAUAAACCAUGUACGCCCGUCGCCAGUCGGCCUUUAGCCCUGUAUAAUGUUCAAUUGUUCAGUGAGGUGCGAUCAGGCGAGGCGAUACCUGCAGCGCGAAUGGUGGUGUACUGCUGUUCUCUGCGAGCAAUAACUAAUUAUGUGACAGUGAUGUAUGGAAUAAUGUGGCCAUGUUCUCCAUCUUGUCAUCUUUCCAGGGAUCGUGAAUUAAUAACAACCAGUUUUUGUACUACAACUUUGGUUCAAGUGCACUCACUCAUCGCACUUAUUUAUUGUUUGUGAUUACCAUUUGACAUGCGUCGGAGCAUUGCAAAAAACAGAGAGAACACUAGACUACUACUUUCUUCGUACCGGUGUAUUAGUCAUCUAAGUUUAUGCAUCGUGAUCAAGACAGAGGGGAAAACAAGAUAACUUAAUGUUUAUUAGCUAAUCAAUAUUAUUGCAUGUCGUGCUAGACAGUCUUAAGUCAUUAAAAGCAUACACGUCUCAUAUGUCUUUUAUAGGUUGAUUCCUUUAUUCAUAUUAAAAAACAAGAAAGGAAGUGGGAGUUAAGUACCACGUCUAAGUGUUUUAGAAUUACUUGGUUUUGGAAUGUGCCUUAAUGCACCAGUAUGGAGGGAAUAGUUCAUUCAUUAGAUACCAUACUACUCUCCUCUGUUUUGUCCCGAAAUGCACUUGAGGAUCAUGCCACCUGACCUCACACUUUAAAUCUUUUGAUACGGCUUAUUGGAUGCCUUGGCAAAUAAGGAUGGAAAAUUUAGCAGUUUUGAAACAAGCUUUGUGUACUAGUGGAGUCCCCCUGCUUAGGUUUGAGGUGUUUCUCGAGACCAGAGACACGUCAACAUUUUUCUUGGUCGCGAGUUGAUAUACAUUCAUAUCGCAUCCGCGUGUAAGUGUGCAUGUGAGAUAUCCAAAAAAUAGAAACAUAUGUAGAAUCUACGAAAGUUCCCUCUUGUUGGGUUGGAUUUAAGGCUUUAAAACUAUGUGUGUUGAUAGAGACAAAGGUGUCCCGUCUUUCGAUAAGAUGAAGGAUAUCGCUUUGGUGGAAGUCGACUUUGACGAUCCGACUACGAACGUGCGAGGACGUCGUGCAUUAGCAAUCGCUAAACCAACUCCGAGAGGUUAUUGACCACGCAGGAGCACGAUCAACCUGACCACGAGGGUCUGUUUCCUGCGAGCAAACGAAGAACAAACAAGAAACUGAGAUUGUAAUCUCGAUAUUGCGAAUAUAAGAUGAAAGCUUUAUGGAUCAAGGUGGGGUUCUGUGACGCCUUUGUCUGGUCGUUGAACACAAACGAAGUACGCGAAGUUGCAGCUAUGACGAACUUUAAUCUAAACAAAACCUCAAAGUCUAAACGGUGCCCUAAGGGCUGUAUAUAUGGAGGAAGAGAGGGGGAAUUUCGUGGCCCUUGGUGGAGGGGUCCGAAAUCAACCCUAUCUCUUGUUUCCCCACACAUACGGACUCUAAAAAUAUCUUAUACGUAUGUAUUUCGAAAUUACAUGGGCCCGGCCCAAUAAAAAGGUGACACAACACCUAUAAUAGCCUCUGGACGAAAUUUAUGAAGUGACAUCUUGUAUAUUUCAUCCAAGGCUUCAUGCACUCGUUAUGGUGGCUUCAAAGACCUGAAAUCAUCACUUGUAACUCCGUUCUUGUUCCCCUUGCGCAUGCCAUCAUCUCCAUGCUUGGUCUUGCUCCAAUGUUCAUCCUUCUUCAAGCUAGGCCCUUCAUUUGUAAGCAAAACAAAUGUAUCCAAUUUAGGCAGCAUCAUAUUCUCAUGAACAUUAGAAUCAUUACCAAGAAAUGAAAGUACCUGGUAAUUUAGUUGGCGUGCGCGAGCUCUAGUAAUUGGUCCAGUAUGUAUAGCAGCAGGGGCAGUGGGUGUAACAAUGGUAUUGAUGUCCUCAUCAUCCUCCCCUUCUUGAAAUGAAGUCGUCCUCGACGGAAGCUCAUCUUCCUCACCCAAAUAAGGCUUCAAAUCUGCAAUGUUAAAAGUGGGACUAACCCCAAAAUCUGCAGGCAACUCAAGUUUAUAUGCAGUAUCAUUUAUUUUCUCUAACACAUUAAAGGGACCAUCAGCACGUGGCAUGAGCUUUGAUUUGCGCAAAUCAGGAAAUCUAUCCUUACGCAAAUGUAACCAAACAAGAUCUCCAGGUGCAAACACAACAUGUUUUCUACCCUUAUCUCCAGCAAGUUUAUAUUUGGCAUUCAUACGCUCAAUGUUUUCCUUAGAUAACUCAUGCAUUUUUAAAAUCAAUUCAGCACGUUGUUUAGCAUCAAAAUUAACCUUCUCCGAAGAUGGAAGAGGCAACAAAUCAAUAGGUGCACGAGGUAGGAAACCAUACACAACUUCAAAAGGGCACAACUUAGUAGUAGAAUGCAAUGAACGAUUAUAAGCAAAUUCAAUAUGAGGCAAGCAUUCCUCCCACAUUUUCUUAUUACUCUUCAAAACAUCCCUAAGUAUAGUAGACAAUGUUCUAUUGACUACUUCAGUUUGUCCAUCAGUUUGGGGGUGACAAGUAGUACUAAAAAGCAGUUUAGUCCCCAACUUAGCCCAUAAACAUCUCCAAAAGUGGCUAAGAAAUUUAGUAUCACGACCUGAAACAAUAGUAUUUGGCACAUCAUGCAAGCGAAUAAUUUCACGAAAGAACAAAUCAGCAACAUUAACAGCAUCAUUGCUUUUAUGACAUGGUAUAAAGUGUGCCAUUUUCAAGAAUCUAUCCACGACAACAAAUAUGCUAUCCCUCCCCUUCUUUGUUCGAGGUAAACCUAAAACAAAGUCCAUAGAUAUAUCCUCCCAAGGAACACUAGGUACAGGCAAAGACAUAUAUAAACCAUGAGAAUUGAGUCGUGACUUAGCUUUUUGACAUGUAGUGCAGCGAGCAAUAAAACGCUCAACAUCCCGUCUCAUCUCUGGCCAAAAGAAAUGUGUAGCAAGUACGUCCUCCGUCUUCUUCACGCCAAAGUGUCCCAUUAAUCCUCCUCCAUGCGCCUCCUGCAACAACAAAAGACGAACGGAGCUAGCUGGAAUGCAUAGCUUGUUAGCACGAAACACAAAUCCAUCGUUAACGACAAACUUGUUCCACAUUCUUCCUUCUUUACAAUUCUGCAUUACAUCUUUAAAAUCAGCAUCAUGCACAUAUUGAUCUUUGAUGGUCUCCAAACCAAAUAUUUUGAAGUCAAGUUGUGAAAGCAUAGUAUAGGGACGAGACAAUGCAUCAGCAAUAACAUUUUCUUUUCCCUUCUUGUGUUUAAUGACAUAAGGGAAAGUCUCAAUGAAUUCAACCCAUUUAGCAUGUCUACGAUUCAGUUUAGCUUGACUUUUAAUAUGUUUCAAAGAUUCAUGAUCAGAAUGUAUAACAAAUUCUUUGGGCCAUAAAUAAUGUUGCCAUGUUUCUAAAGUCCGAACAAGAGCAUAUAAUUCUUUAUCAUAAGUAGAAUAAUUCAGACUAGGCCCACUCAAUUUUUCAGAAAAGUAUGCAACAAGUUUGCCAUCUUGUAAUAACACACAUCCUAAUCCAAUUCCACUAGCAUCACAUUCAAGCUCAAAAGUCUUAUUAAAAUCAGGAAGUUGGAGUAAAGGAGCAUGUGUCAACUUAUCUUUCAAUACCGUGAAGGCUUCUUUCUGUGCGGUACCCCACAGAAAAGGCACAUCUUUCUUUGUAAGCUCAUUGAGAGGUGCAGCAAUGGUGCUGAAAUCUCUUACAAAACGCCUAUAGAAUCCAGCGAGGCCAACAAAACUCCUCACUUGUGUGACCGUUUUGGGCUGCGGCCAACUCUCAAUAGCUUCAAUCUUGGCUUUAUCAACUUCAAUCCCAUGUGGAGUAACAACAUAGCCAAGAAAAGAUACUCGGUCGGUGCAAAAGGUGCACUUCCCAAGGUUACCAAACAAACAUGCAUCACGUAGAGCAAUAAAAACAACACGUAAAUGUUCCAAAUGUUCUUCCAAAGAUCUGCUAUAAAUCAAUAUGUCAUCAAAGUAAACUACCACAAAUCGUCCAAUGAAAGCACGUAAAACUUUGUUCAUUAAUCUCAUGAAAGUACUAGGUGCAUUAGUUAACCCAAAAGGCAUGACUAACCACUCAUAUAAUCCAAACUUAGUUUUAAAUGCUAUUUUCCAUUCAUCUCCCAAUUUCAUACGAAUUUGAUGGUAUCCACUAGGCAAAUCAACUUUGGAGAAUAUUGUAGAGCCACUCAAUUCAUCAAGCAUAUCAUCUAGCCUAGGAAUAGGAUGACGAUAACGAAUAGUAAUAUUAUUAAUGCCUCUACAAUCAACACACAUACGUGAUGUACCAUCCUUUUUCGGCACUAGAAUAAUAGGAACAGCACAAGGACUAAGGGAUUCGCGUAUAUAACCUUUGUCGAGAAGCUCUUGUACUUGACGCAUACUCUCCUUCGUCUCCUCUUGAUUGGUACGGUAUGGCGCACGGUUUGGCAGUGAAGCACCGGGAAUUAAGUCAAUCUGACGCUCAAUCCCUCGAAUAGGCGGUAAUCCCGGUGGCACGUCUUGUGAAAAGACGUCAGCGAACUCCUGCAAAAUGUUAGUGACAGCAGGAGGCAAAGAGGAAGGCACGUCCUCAAAUGAAAAUAAUGCCUCUUUGCACACAAAAGCAUAGCAAACAGAUUUGCUGAAAUCUAGCUCAUCAAUAUCAGAUUUGGUGGCAAAUAAACAUGCACUUUUCAAUUUAAUUUCAGAAGCAACACUAGAUGGUUUAUUAUUAGGCUUCAUUUGUUGCUCAAAUUCUUUUGCCACAAUCUGAUUUUCACUCUUAUUCUUCUCCUGUUUUGCUUUAUCAGCUCUAUUAAUAUCAUCUUUCAAAAUGGAAUCAGGAGUCAUAGGAAGCAAAGUAAUUUUUUUAUCCUUAUGAACAAGAGUAUAGUGAUUGUUUCUACCAUGGUGUACAGAAUUUUUAUCAAAUUGCCAUAGUCUACCAAGUAAUAAGAAACAUGCUUGCAUAGGUACCACAUCACAAUCAACAUAAUCAACAUAUGUAGAGAUACUAAAAUGCACACGAACAGUACGUGUUACCUUAACCUUGCCGCUGUUGUUGAACCAUUGGAUGUAGUAAGGAUGUGGAUGUGGUCUUGUGGUGAGAGAAAGCUUCUCCACCAUCUCCAUGCUAGCCAAGUUGUUGCAGCUCCCUCCGUCUAUGAUGACGCGCACAGAAUGUUCCUUCACAACUCUCUUGGUAUGGAACAAAUUGUGCCUCUGAUUUUGCUCAGCUUGUGUGACCUGCACACUCAAAACACGUUGAGCAACUAAACAUUCAUAUAUGUCAGCGUCUUCAGGAGCCAUGUAUUGCGUCUCAUGAUCAGAAUCAUCUCCACCAUGUUCUUCACGUGUAAUAAGAGCCAAAGUCUCCUCAUCAUAGUCACUAGCGGACUCAUACCCACCAUCCUCAGUAGCAAUCAUCACACACUGAGAUUUGCAUUCUCGCGCAUAAUGACCUCUUCCCUUACAACGACGACAAAUAAUAUCACUUGUGUGCCCUGUUGAUCCCAUGGAAGAAGAAGAGCUCUAUGCAGGCCCGACAGGUGCGCUCUUGGCAGAUGAUGGUGGUUGUGCCUGCUUUCUUGUAUCAUGGCUGGAGAUGGCACCUGAUGGAGUUGCUGGUGUAGUGGAAGUAGAAGAUGCACGCGGUGUCCAUGAAGAAGGUCGACCUGCAGAAAAGUUAGUGCGCGCCAUUGCUUGUCAAUCAUGCACUUCACGUUCAGCUUUACAAGCAAGAUGGAAUAAACGAGUGAUAUUAGUAUACUCCUUAUAUUCUAGAAUAGUCUGAAUCUCUCUAUUUAAUCCACCCGUAAAACGCGCAAGCAUAGCUUCAUUCUCCUCAACAAUACCACAUCUAAUCAUGCCAGUUUGUAAUUCCUGAUAAUAUUCCUCUACAGAAAUUUUUCCUUGUCUUAAACGCUGCAAUUUUUGAAGCAAUUCACGUUGAUAAUAUGGUGGAACCCAACGAGUACGCAUAGCAGUUUUCAAAGCAGCCGAAGUAGCUGGAAUAGGAUAUAAUCUACAAUGUUCAGACCACCAUACACAUGCAAAACUAGUGAAAGCACAAACAGCAGCAGCAACCCGUCUCUCCUCGAGAUAUUGUAAACAUGUAAAACGUUGUUCAGUUUCUAACUCCCAUGUAAGAUAUAUAUCAGGAACAUAUCUACCCUCAAAUGGUGGAAUAUUCAUUUCAGUUUGGGAAUAUGGACAUCAUCUCGUACCUGAGGUGGUGGUGCAGACCUACCAUUACGAAUAUAUACCUGAGGUCGACCUGCUGGUGGUGGUGCUGGUGGUUGCACGUAGUUUUGAUUUUGAUCAACCUCAUCCUCAUAAUCGCCCGCAUACUCAUCAUCCUCCUGGGUACCAGCAGCAGCAGUAGCAUGAGCCAAAGAAGCAUCAACAACAGGAACAACAACACCAGAAGUUUGGCCAUCCUCAAUAGGAACACGCUUCGCUUGUCCAUACUGAUUCGGAAGGAGGCGUUGUUGUUGUUGUUGCAGAGGUGCAAUAGGUGCAGCCGGCGGUGGUUGUGGAAAACGCGCGAGCAAUUCAUUAAACUUGCUAUCAAGCUUUGUUUUGAACGUCUUCUCAAUGCCAUCUAUCUUCUCCAUGGCCUCGUCAAAUCUGUUUCGCACAUCUUGCACCUAUCCACUCAUCAUUUGUUGAAAUUUAUCAUGUAGCUGUUUGUUCGUCAGGUUCUCCCAAUCAGUCUAAUCGGCUUGUGAUCCUGGCAUGGUUAGCAGCAAUAGAAACACAAAAUAAUAUGAUUCUACAGACUACUAGGAAGCGGUGGUGGUGGUGGUGUGUCACAAAUCCUUCAAGCGAAUUUUAAAUUCUUACCAGUUCUUACCCAGCAGCAGGUGGUGAUCGGCAACCGUUAUAGUCAAAACUCUCAAAGCUUGGAUAGAGCGAUUACCAGGGAGAAUCAAACGCACGACGUAGAUGUAUGUGGAGCUGGAAAGGCUUAUAAUAUGGUAGCAAAAAGGGUCAGCAAUAAUCAAUUCAGAGAUGCAAAGUUGAAUAAACGCUCAACGACGGUACUGUGCUGGUCCUAGGCUAGACUGUGCUAGAGACACGAGCCUAGAACACUAACAAAAUCACGGCGCUGCACGUAAACAAGGGAGGAGCAUACUCUGAAUUUUUUCUCUCUUUUUUUUGCACUUUUUUCUUUUUUUUUGCUUCGCAACAAUUUUUUUGAAAAAGUCUACAAAUGGUCUAGAAACUGCCUAGCCAGAAUUUUCCAGACUUAGUUUUUUUAAACUGGAGCUAUUUUUCUACUGCGGGUAACACGAAAGUUCGGGAGUCCUUGUCUAUCACGACUCGGAGUAUGGCGUGAUCUGGAAGUCGAAAACAAAGCAACAAAUACUGGACUCGGACUAGGACUGGUGGCGGAGAUGAAUCUGGUGGAACUCGGACUGGUGGUGAAGAUGAAUCUGGUGGAACUCGGACUGGUGGCAGAUAUAUGUUGCAGGUGGACUCGGAUUAGCGUGAUGGAGGUGGAUAUGUGGUAUAUGGCUGCAGUGAUGUCGAUGGUGGUAGAUGGCAGCGGUGAUGACGAUGGUGGUAUAUGGCAGCGGUGAUGAUGAUGGUGGUAUAUGGCAGCGGUGAUGACGAUGGUGGUAUAUGGCAGCGGUGAUGAUGAUGGUGGUAUAUGGCAGCGGUGAUGAUGAUGGUGGUAUAUGGCAGCGGUGAUGACGAUGGUGGUAUAUGGCAGCGGUGAUGAUGAUGAUGCGGCAGCGGCAUGACAACUUGUGAACAGAACUCGAAACUCUAAAGGACUAGACACUAAGACCAGCAACUAGACACGACGAUGCAACCGCAAAUUCAACAACGCAAAUACAGAAGAGAUCAUGCAAUGGCUCAGACUGGUUCGGAUAUGAUGAACUAACCCUAAAUUUUUUUGUGGCUUUUUCGUGGACUAUAGGUAUGAAGAAAAGACUCGAUCUAAACUACGAAAAACUGUAAAAUCUCAACGAGCAACCUGGAAAUUUGAUACCACUUGAUAGAGGCAAAGGUGUCCCGUCUUUCGAUGAGAUGAUGGAUAUCGCUUUGGUGGAAGUCGACUUUGACGAUCCGACUACGAACAUGCGAGGACGUCGCGCCUUAGCAAUCGCUAAACCAACUCCGAGAGGUUAUUGACCACACCAGAGCACGAUCAACCUGACCACGAGGGUCUGUUUCCUGCGAGCAAACGAAGAACAAGCAAGAAACUGAGAUUGCAAUCUGGAUAUUGCGAAUAUAAGAUGAAAGCUUUAUUGAUCAAGGUGGGGUUCUGUGACGCCUUUGUCUGGUCGUUGAACACAAACGAAGUACGCGAAGUUGUAGCUAUGGCGAACUUUAAUCUAAACAAAACCUCAAAGUCUAAACGGUGCCCUAAGGGCUGUAUAUAUGGAGGAAGAGAGGGGAAAUUUCGUGGCCCUUGGUGGAGGGGUCCGAAAUCAACCCUAUCUCUUGUUUCCCCACACAUACAGACUCUAAAAAUAUCAUAUACUUAUGUAUUUAGAAAUUACAUGGGCCUGGCCCAAUAAAAAGGUGACGCGACACCUAUAAUAGCCUCUGACGAAAUUUAUUAAGUGACAUCUUGUAUAUUUCGUCCAAGGCUUCAUGCACUCGUUAUGGUGGCUUCAAAGACCUGAAAUCAUCACUUGUAACUCCGUUCUUGUUCCCCUUGCGCACGCCAUCAUCUCCAUGCUUGGUCUUGCUCCAAUGUUCAUCCUUCUCCAAGGUAGGCCCUUCAUUUGUAAGCAAAACAAAUGUAUCCAAUUUAGGCAGCAUCAUAUUCUCAUGAACAUUAGAAUCAUUACCAAGAAACGAAAGUACCUGGUAAUUUAGUUGGCGUGCGCGAGCUCUAGUAAUUGGUCCAGUAUGUAUAGCAGCAGGGGCUGUGGGUGUAACAAUGGUAUUGAUGUCCUCAUCAUGUGUUGAAUUUGUUAAGUAAGAGCUUCUACAACCGGAGCUCCCAUAUCCGUCCUAAACUUAUCAAAUUGCUUAAUCAGAUCUCUCUGUGUUACUAUGGUAGCAUCUAAAGGCAUUUGACAGGAAAACAUGUCACUAAUUGUCAAGCUACCAUCGGGUAGGCGAUCGGUGUGACACCCAUGCUGAAUCUUCAAUAACUUCAUGGAGCUGCUGGGUGGCACCAACCUACGCAAAGUAGCAUAGCAUGACCACGCUAUUCGCAACACAAAAGGAGAAUCACAAAACAACACAAGACAAUGGUUUAUUUCUUUACCCAAUAGGAGAAAUGACACCUUCACCAGGCUCCAGAGGCCGCCGUACCAUGCCGCCGAGAUCCGGGCGAAUGGAGGUCGUGGAAGCAACAAUGCGGUGACAGAUCAGCGGGAGGACAAGACUCGAGGUGGUGGUGAAAAGGAGGGUCUAACAACCAAAAUUUAGGGACGUGUCACUAUAGAGCACUGCAGGUGAGCCCGCAGUGGAGAAAGACAUGAAUCAGAGGGGCAAAAUGGGAAUUGUGGCCCCAAUGGCGGGCCCCCACAUCGACGGACACUCAAAGGGUCUUGUCGCCAAUAUUGGUGGGCCCACGUCGGAGUGGAAAUGGAAAUUAUGGUGCAAUAUUUGGCCCGCACAUCACCCGAAAGGGUUAAUCGAGUCUUUUUGUGGCUGCAGUUGAUGUGGUGAAGUGAUGGGUCCAAAAUGGAAUGAAACAACGCAAAGUUGACGGCAACCGAUGGAGAUUACGUGCAGUUUCAUACACCAAUUUUUUUUCACAAUCGUUAGUGCCCGGACCGAAAUAUGGAAAAUUGAGUGGCAGAACUCGAAUAUACAACAUUGGCAGUGGCACAAACUGAUUCUUCCCAAAAGUAUAAUAUGAACUUUUUUUCAUGAUGGGUUUGGGGAUAUUGAUUGCUAUCAUACAUGUUAAUAUUUCCUUCUUAUAAACUAGAACAAAGUGUAAUCAAUCAAAAAUAAUAUGCACUCUAUUAUGAAAUUAGGGGAGUAAGCCCUAUCUAUAAGACAACAUGACCGUGGCUAUUGAUGAUUUCUCGGUAGACUAGUAAUGAAAUUUCAUAGGAUUUAAUCCCUCUGUUCCUAAAUAUAAUAUUUUUAGAGAUUUUAAUAUGGACUACAACGGAGCAAAAUGAGUGAAUCUACACUCUAAACUAUGUCUAUAUACAUCCGUAUGUUGUUUGUAGUGAAAUCUCUAGAAAGUCUUAUAUUUAGGGAUAGAGGAACUAUUUGCCAUUUAUUUGAAGAAAGAUAACUUUUAUCCAAAGAAAAAUGAAACAUGUCAAUUAAUGACAUUAAUUGGAUAGGGAUAACCUUGUUGCCACCACAUCUAUAUAAGGCGACUGGACGGUGCCCCUCAUGACCACAAAAACAUACUGGUUGACAGACUAUUGCAUAAUUAUAUAUUUUCUGUUGUUCUGUGUUCUUAGGCAAUGGCGAACAAUGGCAUCUUCGAAGUGAUCAUUGUUUUUCUCAUGGCGCAAGUCUGCUUGCUCAUGAUGAUGGCAACUAGCACAUGCAGCUGCUAGACCGGUGGGGUACAAUCCAGUGUGCUGCCCUAGGAACAUCUGUUGUUGCGGGUUCGGUAGCGGAUUGGCCAAUUCACCCGCACCAUCCAUUGUAUCUUGAUGUGUGGUUUUAUUUUCCCCCAAGUAGUAAGCUCAACAUAUAAUUGAUAUAUGUGGUUCAUGUGUUAUGUAAUCCUGAAUAUUUGUGAUGCUACUUUCAAGAGGUUAUUGUACUAGUUACUUACUUAAUAAAAUGGGAGGAUAUUAUUAUAUAUCUUGCUCGGAAUAUACCGCAAAGAGACUUAAGAUUAUGUUUACUUUAGUUCUUUUGGAAACUAGAUUAUUUUGCUGCAUUGAUUUAAGAAAAAAGAGUAACUAAGCAUACACGUUGACCUCAUGAGUCUGCAGUGUGUGCCUUUGGGAAUAUCUGUUUUAUCAUUCUGUUGGUCGUACAUUGUGUCAAGAUCAUCCGUGUCAUGGCGACAUGCUUUAUUUUCGUAGAGAACAUAAUUUUUUUAAACCAUUUAUUGGGUAAAGGAGUAUAUCACCAAUUAGUAGAAACCAACUACUAUUGGCAGGCUUUUUUUUGUUAAUUCAGGGAUGCACACUGUUUUGUUUUGCAUGAAUACCAAAGUCAUAUAUUGAAAUGGUCUUUUCCCCAACGGCAAUGGAUCCGGGCCAGGAUCGAAGCAGGCGCCAAAGACUUGAUUGCUUUUUAGUUUCAUCUGUUGGGGUCCUAUUUGCAAAGUUUCUCGCCUGGGCUAUAAUUUCUACUUACUGUUGGGUUCUUUUGUAAUAUGUUGCAUGCUUAUCUAAUUUAAGUCUGGGUUUCUUCCUCAGUUCAAAUAUAUAUAUAUAUAUAUAUAUAUAUAUAUAUAUAUAUAUAUAUAUAUAUAUAUAUAUAUAUAUAUAUAUAUAUAUAUAUAUAUAUAUGGUCCAACCCUUACAACACCAUCCUUCCAAAAGCAUAAAAUAAAACAUAUACCCUCGUGUAUAUCAACAACGCCUUUCUCCCGCACUCGCACCCCAUGGGCAAAGCUCGAUAUUGCAGUUGGAUAUCCAAAACGCCCUCACAGCCGGGGUAAAUCAUUCUCUGUGUGUGCUCAAUUCCUCAGAAAACAAUCAAAAAAUCAUACAUGAAUACAACUCUUUGCUCUUUUACGGAACGCAAAAGGAUUGUUUUGUUCUGGAUCCUAUAUGUGUAAUCUAUCUAUCUAAAUUAAUUAAAGAGAUCUCAUAAACUCCAACGGUUAAUCAGAAAUUAUGAAUUGUUCAUCUGGUGGGACCGAGUUUGGCACAAGGACCGUCGAAGGACCGGAAAAGGGGAGGGAAAUGGACGGAAACUAAAAUGAAGGCAGAGGACCAGUUGACAAAGAGAAGUGAAGACCCUGUCCUGAGCUACUCACUAAGUUUAGGCGGUUUCAAUAGUAGAUGCAGUUUCUUUUAUUACCAACCGCCUCCAAUACUUAUUGCAAGCGGUUAUGUUGUUCUAACCGCCUACGGUGUGAAUAUUACAGGCGACUUCGUUCUAUUUGAUCACAACCGCUUGUGGAGUCUACGUUGUGGGUGGAGUCUCCGUUGGUAGUUACAUCGGCCGAUGUGAUGUGUAUUGUCAUGUUCCAUGAUGAUAGUUUGUUGGGCGUGUUGUUAUGGUUUUUGCCCAAUUUUUCUAAAUUAGCUGGACAAUUUAUUUUUUUAAUUAAUGCAAGUAAAUGAUAAAUCUUUUGUCUUCCCCGCAAAAAAAAUAUAUCUUUUGUCUCGUUUAAUCUUUUGCCAAGCAACAAAGGUUUUGCACCGAACCAUUGGCGGAAUUGGCCUGAUUGCCGACGCGGCGAGCCGAGCUCUCCUACGCUGGUGGAAUUGGCUGAAAACUGGGAGCGCCCGCCCAAACAGAAACUUGGUGCACGCUGACAGACACUGCACUCACGCACAUGCUCCUACAUACUGUACGUGUUAUCCUACGGUGACAGACCUGCCAACCCCGAUGGAUCGAUCGAUGCCUCCUCUUAUCCUCUGCAGAGUGCAGUGGAGCGCCCGCCCUUCACGUGCUCUGUUUUCUAGGAGUAGUAGUAUAUGACCAACGACAACGAGCCGCCGCCACCUGUGCUCUGCGGCAGCGCCGGCCAUCCCGCCCGCCCGCCGCUCGUCUCAAAACCACGGUCUCGCUUCCCACCGUAUCAAAUCGCCUUUCUUCCCGCCCGCUGGUUGCGCGGUUUCCUGCAACCUAUAAAUCCAGUCGGAGAACCUCACCUGUCCAUCCAUCUCAUCUCAUCCAACUCACACUACUACUGAUCUCAGCUAGCCUAGGAGUACUCGAGUUUACUACCAGUUCAAUUCCUUCGGUACGAGGCUCUCUCCGGCGAAGAUGUCUACGGUGACCCGCGCCUACCUCGACCAGAGGCUCGCCGCCGCCAAGCGCUGCUCCAGAGGUAACCAAAACGAUAUGAUGUCGCGCCGGUCCUCAAGGGCACAUUGCAGCUUUCUCUACUGUCUCUGCUGAAACUUGAUCGUAACUAAAAUGUCUCUUUUGCUCCGGAACUGCAGAGGCUGCCAUGGCGGGAGCAAAGGCCGCGGCCGUCGCCACCGUCGCUGCCGCAGUGCCCACAGUAAGUAGCCGUUCAGUUCUUCAGUUCAGAGUUCAUAGCACAUAUCUCAUGAAUGCGUUACCUGUAAUUUCAGCUGGCGAGCGUGAGGAUGCUGCCGUGGGCCAAGGCGCACCUGAACCCGACCGGGCAGGCGCUCAUCAUCUCCACCGUGGCCGGGAUGGCCUACUUCAUCGUCGCCGACAAGACCAUCCUGUCCAUGGCCAGAAAGCACUCCUUCGACGACGCGCCAGACCACCUCAAGAACACCUCCUUCCACUAAUUAGACACUUGAUUAGCCAUGGCCCAAUAAACUGUGUACGCAGGCCCGUGGCAACGUGUCGGCUGAAACAUAGUAGUAUAAUGUUCAGCGACAGGGCCAGCAGGCGAGGCGACGAUGGUUGCAGUGCUGAAAGGUGGUGUUCAGCCCUUCAAUUUGUGCGAGCAAG